rnacentral:lncRNA from 1 species
GUGUUUCAACAUAUUACCUGUACAACAACGAAUGCAUUGCAACAAAACAGGGUAAGGCCAGCCAAUACAAUCACACCAUGGUUUCAUCAUACAUAGUUUUACAGGAAAACAAAGACAUGCAGUGUUAGUCUGAUCACAUACACAAGAAAACUGCUAAUACUUGACAAAAUAAUUGACAUUUUGUGGCUCCCCUUUGCCAUCAUUUUUUUGAGGUAGCAUGUUUGUGAGCUAUCUAAUGUAGAAAAAGCAUGUAAAAUCAGUAGUGGCCUAUUAUAGCGCAAGGCAGUAGUGAGCAGCAUAAUUGCUCAUACAAACAUACUCUACUUUCGUCAGGCUAUUACUGAAAAUGAGAAGGCCAACCUUCAAGAAUUUGAUAUCUAGGCAUAGUAGACGGGGUAACUGGAAUAGUAAUAUGGUAUUUGGUAUGAUGUAUCUAAUUUAGAUCAUCUUUUUUUACUUCUAGGUACUAAUUUAAACCAAUGUGACUCUAUUGUUUAGUCCUAUUUUUUUGUUUUCUCCUUGCUAAUAAUUUUAUUUAUUCUCAAGCUAAAUAACACAUGCAUUUUCGAGUGUAAGGACUUAUGCUGGUUUACACAUGUGCAUAACAGAUGUCCACCGUGUGAGUACGCAAGUGGAUCUGAACUUGUAAAAAACAAAUGAGUAAAGCACGGAGACGGACCUGGGGAUCCGUGUCCGAGAAAAGAGGGAGAGAUGGGAUUCGUCAUCUAUAGGAGUUUUGAAUGCAUUUCCCUUGGUAUAUAUCCAGGCAAAAAGAUCAAAAAACUCUUGGAGUAUUCUGAUGCCACUUCUGAGUUCAUUACUGAACCUGCUGCACUUACAUUGGAGAUGUUGGUGAAUUGUACGAUGAGGAGGCCAGAGGGCAGCACGACCUAGGGGCUGAGGCAACGAUAGUGCGGUCCAGAGAUCGAGUCCAUGGAACAAGAGCUUCUUGUAGCUAAUCAGGCCACUGCACAUCGAGAAGCAACAAUUAGGGAGCUUCAAUGUGAAACAAAAAAAGGAAACUGAGAUUGAGAGAUUAAAUGAAUUGACGAUGUCAGGUUGGUUUGCAGCACAAGAGUUAAAUGAACUGGCACAAAUGACAUUCAAGAAUAAAGAUGAUAUCAAGAAUACAAUCAAUGACUUCAAACUGGUGAUGUAUUUAGCUAGAUGUUGUGUGUUCUGAACUAAUAGCUUCGAAAGUGGCUUUGACCUUCUCGUGCAAACAAGUAGAAGAUCAAGCGACACAGUUGAUUAACCAAGUGCAGGAACUCGCAGACCAAAAAGCACUGGCUAUUUGAUAGUCGCCUAGAGGGGGGGUGAAUAGGGCGAAACUGAAAUUUACAAAUAUAAACACAACUACAAGCCGGGUUAGCGUUAGAAAUAAGAACGAGUCCGAGAGAGGGCGUGAAAACAAAUCGCAAGCGAAUAAUGAAGUGAGACGCGUGGAUUUGUUUUACCGAGGUUCGGUUCUCUCAAACCUACUCCCCGUUGAGGAGGCCACAAAGGCCGGGUCUCUUUCAACCCUUCCCUCUCUCAAACGGUCCCUUGGACCGAGUGAGCUUCUCUUCUCAAAUCACUUGGGAAUCAAACUCCCCGCAAGGACCACCACACAAUUGGUGUCUCUUGCCUCAAUUACAAGUGAGUGUUUGAUCACAAGAAAGAAUGCCAAAGAAAAGAAGCGAUCCAAGCGCAAGAGCUCAAAUGAACACUACAAAUCACUCUCUCUAAUCACUAAGGCUUUGUGUGGAGUUGGGAGAGGAUUUGAUCUCUUUUGGUGUGCUUUGCAAUGAAUGCUAGCUCUUGUAUAGUGGUUGGAAGCUGGAAAACUUGGAUGCAAUGAAUGGUGGGGUGGUUGGGGUAUUUAUAGCCCCAACCACCAAACAUGACCGUUGGUGGAGGCUGUCUGUCGUAUGGUGCACCGGACAGUCCGGUGCGCCAGCCAUGUCACCAAAGCCGUUGGAAUUUGACCGUUGGAGUUCUGCCUUCUGGGCCCGCCUUGAUGUCCGGUGGCGCACCGGACAUGUACUGUAGAGUGUCCGGUGCGCCAGCAUGGGCGUGCCUGACUUCUGCGCGCUUCUGGCGCGCAUUGAAUGCGCCUGCAGGUGACCGUUGGCGCGAAGUAGCCGUUGCUCCGCAGUUGCACCGGACAGUCCGGUGUACACCGGACAUGUCCGGUGAAUUAUAGCGGAGCAGCCGUUCUGAUUUCCCGAGGCUGCCAAGUUCUGGAGCCGUGUUUUCUUGGAGCACCGGACACUGUCCGGUGUACACCGGACAGUCCGGUGAAUUAUAGCGCGGCGGCUCCGAAAAAUUCCCGAGGCUGAGGAGUUCUGCGCGAGGUCCCCUGGUGCACCGGACACUGUCCGGUGCGCCACCGGACAGUCCGGUGCGCCAAACCAGGGAGCCUUUCGGGAUGCCUUUGGCUCUCUAUUUUGAACCCAACUUUGGUCUUUUUAAUUGGCUUGUUGUGAACCUUGGCACCUGUAUAACUUGUACACUAGAGCAAACUAGUUAGUCCAAUUAUUUGUGUUGGGCAAUUCAACCACCAAAAUUAUUUAGGAACUAGGUGUAAGCCUAAUUCCCUUUCAAUCUCCCCCUUUUUGGUGAUUGAUGCCAACACAAACCAAAGCAAGUAUAAAAUGCAUAAUUGAACUAGUUUGCAUAAUGUAAGUGCAAAGGUUGCUUGGAUUUGAGCCAAUAUAAAUACUUACAAGAUAUGCAUGGAUCGUUCCUUUGUUUUUAUCAUUUUGGACCACACUUGCACCACAUGUUUUGUUUUUGCAAACUAUUUUGUAAAUCCUUUUCAAAGUUCUUUUGCAAAAAGUCAAAGGUAAAUGAAUACGAUUUUAUGAAGCAUUUUCAAGAUUUGAAAUUUUCUCCCCCUGUUUCAAAUGCUUUUCCUUUGACUAAACAAAACUCCCCCUAAAUGAGAUCCACCUCUUAGUGUUCAAGAGGGUUUUGAUAUAUCAUUUUUGAAAUACUACUUUCUCCCCCUUUUGAACACAAUAGGAUACCAAUUGAAAAUACUCUUUGAAAAACUAAGUUUUUGAAAUUGGUGGUGGUGCGGUCCGUUUGCUUUGGGCUCAUACUCUCUCCCCCUUUGGCAUGAAUCGCCAAAAACGGAAUCAUUAGAGCCCUCGAAGUACUUUCUUCCCCUUUGGUCAUAAAUAAAUGAGUUAAGAUUGUACCAAAGACGAAGUCUUUUGCUCUCUCCCCCAAAGAUGGAGAGUGGCCCAGAGCGACGACGAAGGAUGAGUUACGGAGUGGAAGCCUUUGUCUUUGCCGAAGACUCCAAUUCCCUUUCAAUACACCUAUGACUUGGUUUGAAAUAGACUUGAAGAACAUAUUAGUCAUAGCAUAUGAAAGAGAUAUGAUCAAAGGUAUAUAAAUGAGCUAUGUGUGCAAUUUAGCAAAAGAAAUUGCGCGAAUCAAGAAUAUUGAGCUCAUGCCUAAGUUUGUUAAAGGUUUGUUCAUCAAGAGGCUUGGUAAAGAUAUCGGCUAAUUGAUCUUUAGUGUUAAUGUAAGAAAUCUCGAUAUCUCCCUUUUGUUGGUGAUCCCUAAGAAAAUGAUACCGAAUGGCUAUGUGUUUAGUGCGGCUAUGUUCGACGGGAUUAUCCGCCAUCUUGAUUGCACUCUCAUUAUCACAUAGCAAAGGGACUUAGGUUAAUUUGUAACCAUAGUCCCGCAGGGUUUGCCUCAUCCAAAGCAAUUGCGCGCAACAAUGGCCUGCGGCAAUGUACUCGGCUUCGGCGGUGGAAAGAGCGACCGAAUUUUGCUUCUUUGAAGCCCAAGACACCAAGGAUCUUCCCAAGAACUGGCAAGUCCCUGAUGUGCUCUUUCUAUUGAUUUUACACCCCGCCCAAUCAGCAUCCGAAUAACCAAUCAAAUCAAAUGUGGAUCCCCUAGGAUACCAAAGCCCAAACUUAGGAGUAUAAGCCAAAUAUCUCAAGAUUCGUUUUACGGCCGUAAGGUGAGCUUCCUUAGGGUCAGCUUGGAAUCUUGCACACAUGCAUACGGAAAGCAUAAUAUCCGGUCGAGAUGCACAUAAAUAGAGUAAAGAGCCUAUCAUCGACCGGUAUACCUUUUGAUCCACGGACUUACCUCCCGUGUCGAGGUCGAGAUGCCCAUUAGUUCCCAUGGGUGUCUUGAUGGGCUUGGCAUCCUUCAUCCCAAACUUGUUUAGAAUGUCUUGAGUGUACUUCGUUUGGCUAAUGAAGGUGCCCUCUUGGAGUUGCUUCACUUGAAAUCCUAGAAAAUACUUCAACUCCCCCAUCAUAGACAUCUCGAAUUUCUGUGUCAUGAUCCUACUAAACUCUUCACAUGUAGAUUCGUUAGUAGACCCAAAUAUAAUAUCAUCAACAUAAAUUUGGCAUACAAACAAAUCAUUUUCAAGCGUUUUGGUAAAGAGUGUAGGAUCGGCUUUUCCGACUUUGAAGCCAUUAGCAAUAAGGAAAUCUCUAAGGCAUUCAUACCAUGCUCUUGGGGCUUGCUUGAGCCCAUAAAGCGCCUUAGAGAGCUUAUAGACAUGGUUAGGGUACUCACUGUCUUCAAAGCCGGGAGGUUGCUCAACAUAGACCUCUUCCUUGAUUGGUCCAUUGAGGAAGGCACUUUUCACGUCCAUUUGAUAAAGCUUAAAGCCAUGGUAAGUAUCAUAGGCCAAUAAUAUACGAAUUGACUCAAGCCUAGCUACGGGUGCAUAGGUUUCACCGAAAUCCAAACCUUCGACUUGGGAGUAUCCUUUGGCCACAAGUCGAGCUUUGUUCCUUGUCACCACACCAUGCUCAUCUUGCUUGUUGCGGAAGACCCAUUUGGUUCCUACAACAUUUUGAUUAGGACGUGGAACUAAAUGCCAUACCUCAUUCCUAGUGAAGUUGUUGAGCUCCUCUUGCAUCGCCACCACCCAAUCCGAAUCUUGGAGUGCUUCCUCUACCCUGUGUGGCUCAAUAGAGGAAACAAAAGAGUAAUGCUCACAAAAAUGUGCAAUACGAGAUCUAGUAGUUACCCCCUUAUGAAUGUCGCCGAGGAUGGUGUCGACGGGGUGAUCUCGUUGGAUUGCUUGGUGGACUCUUGGGUGUGGCGGCCUAUGCUCUUCAUCCUCCUUGUCUUGAUCAUUUGCAUCUCCCCCUUGAUCAUUGUCGUCAUCUUGAGGUGUCUCAUUUGCUUGAUCUUCUACUUCAUCAACUUGAGCUUCAUCCUCAUUUUGAGUCGGUGGAGAUGCUUGCGUGGAGGAGGAUAGUUGAUCUUGUGCAUUUGGAGGCUCUUCGGAUUCCUUAGGACACACAUCCCCAAUGGACAUGUUCCUUAGCGCGAUGCAUGGAGCCUCUUCAUUACCUAUUUCAUCAAGAUCAACUUGCUCUACUUGAGAGCCGUUAGUCUCAUCAAACACAACGUCACAAGAAACUUCAACUUGUCCAGUGGACUUGUUAAAGACUCUAUAUGCCCUUGUGUUUGAAUCAUAUCCUAGUAAAAAGCCUUCUACAGUCUUAGGAGCAAAUUUAGAUUUUCUACCUCUUUUAACAAGAAUAAAACAUUUGCUACCAAAGACUCUAAAAUAUGAAAUAUUGGGCUUUUUACCGGUUAGGAGUUCAUAAGAUGUCUUCUUGAGGAUUCGGUGUAGAUAUAACCGGUUGAUGGCGUAGCAGGCGGUGUUGACCGCCUCAGCCCAAAACCGAUCCAAAGUCUUGUACUCAUCAAGCAUGGUUCUUGCCAUGUCCAAUAGAGUUCGAUUCUUCCUCUCUACUACACCAUUUUGUUGUGACGUGUAGGGAGAAGAGAACUCAUGCUUGAUGCCCUCCUCCUCAAGGAAGCCUUCAAUUUGAGAGUUCUUGAACUCCGUUCCGUUGUCGCUUCUUAUUUUCUUGAUCCUUAAGGCGAACUCAUUUUGAGCCCGUCUCAAGAAUCCUUUUAAGGUCUCUUGGGUUUGAGAUUUUUCCUGCAAAAAGAACACCCAAGUGAAGCGAGAAUAAUCAUCCACUAUCACAAGACAAUACUUACUCCCGCCGAUGCUUAGGUAAGCAAUCGGGCCGAAUAGAUCCAUGUGGAGUAGCUCAAGCGGCCUGUCGGUCGUCAUGAUGUUCUUGUGUGGAUGAUGGGCUCCAACUUGCUUUCCUGCCUGGCAUGCGCUACAAACCCUGUCAUUCUCAAAAUGAACAUUGGUUAAUCCUAAAAUGUGCUCUCCCUUUAGAAGCUUAUGAAGAUUCUUCAUCCCAACAUGUGCUAGUCGGCGAUGCCAGAGCCAGCCCAUGUUAGUCUUAGCAAUUAAGCAAGUGUCGAGUUCAGCUCUAUCAAAAUCUACUAAGUAUAGCUGACCCUCCAACACUCCCUUAAAUGCUAUUGAAUCAUCACUUCUUCUAAAGACAGUGACACCUAUAUCAGUGAAAAGACAGUUGUAGCCCAUUUUGCAUAAUUGAGAUACAGAAAGCAAAUUGUAAUCUAAUGAAUCUACAAGAAAAACAUUGGAAAUAGAAUGGUCAGGAGAUAUAGCUAUUUUACCAAGACCUUUGACCAAACCUUGAUUUCCAUCCCCGAAUGUGAUAGCUCGUUGGGGAUCCUGGUUUUUCUCGUAGGAGGAGAACAUCUUCUUCUCCCCUGUCAUAUGGUUUGUGCACCCGCUGUCGAGUAUCCAACUUGAGCCUCCGGAUGCAUAAACCUACAAAACAAUUUUAGUUCUUGACUUUAGGUACCCAAACGGUUUUGGGUCCUUUGGCAUUAGAAACAAGAACUUUGGGUACCCAAACACAAGUCUUGGAGCCCUUGUGUUUGCCCCCAACAAACUUGGCAACUACUUUGCCGGAUUUGUUAGUCAAAACAUAAGAUGCAUCAAAAGUCUUAAAUGAAAUGCUAUGUUCAUUUGAUGCACUAGGAGUUUUCUUCUUAGGCAACUUAACAUGGGUUGGUUGCCUAGAGCUAGAUGUCUCACCCUUGUACAUGAAAGCAUGGUUAGGGCCAGAGUGAGACUUCCUAGAGUGAAUCCUCCUAAUUUUGCUCUCGGGAUAACCGGCAGGGUACAAAAUGUAACCCUCGUUAUCCUGAGGCAUGGGAGCCUUGCCCUUUACAAAAUUAGAUAAUCUUUUAGGAGGGGCAUUAAGUUUGACAUUGUCUCCCCUUUGGAAGCCAAUGCCAUCCUUGAUGCCAGGGCGUCUCCCACUAUAGAGCAUACUUCUAGCAAAUUUAAAUUUUUCAUUUUCUAAGUUAUGCUCGGCAAUUUUAGCAUCUAGUUUUGCUAUAUGAUCAUUUUGUUGUUUAAUUAAAGUCAUGUGAUCAUGAAUAGCAUCAACAUCAAUAUCUCUACAUCUAGUACAAAUAGAUACAUGCUCAACUAUAGAUGUAGGAGGUUUGCAAGAUUUUAAUUCUACAACCUUAGCAUGUAAUAUGUCGUUUUCACUUCUAAGGUUAGAAAUAGUAACAUUGCAAACAUCAAAAUCUUUAGCCUUAGCAAGCAAUUUUUCAUUUUCAUUUCUAAGGCUAGCAAGUGAAAUGUUCAAAUCUUUAAUCCUAGCAAAUAAAUCAUCAUUAUUAUCUCUAGGAUUGGAACUUGAAACAUUACAAAUAUGAGAAUCAACCUUAGCUAACAAAUUAGCAUUCUCAUUUCUAAGGUUGUUUAUAGUCUCAUGGCAAGUGCUUAGCUCACUAGACAAUUUUUCACAUUUUUCUACUUUUAGAGCAUAAGCAUUUUUAACCUUAACAUGCUUCUUAUUUUCUUUAAUAAGGAAGUCCUCUUGGGUGUCCAAGAGAUCAUCCUUUUCAUGAAUGACACUAAUCAAUUCAUUAAGUUUCUCUUUUUGUUGCAUGUUGAGGUUGGCAAAAAGAGAUCGCAAGUUAUCUUCCUCAUCACUAACAUUUUCAUCACUAGAGGAUUCAUAUCUAGUGGAGGAUUUAGAUUUAUCCUUCUUGUUUUUGCCGUCCUUUGCCAUGAGGCACUUGUGGCCGACGUUGGGGAAGAGGAGUCCCUUGGUGUCGGCGAUGUUGGCGACGUCCUCGUCGUCGGAGGAGUCGGUGGAGCUCUCGUUGGAGUCCCACUCGCGGCAUACGUGGGCAUCACCGCCCCUCUUCUUGUGGUACCUCUUCUUUUCUCUCCUCUUGCCCUUCUUGUCAUUAUCCCUGUCACUGUCACUUGAUAAUGGACAUUUAGCAAUAAAGUGACCGGGCUUACCACACUUGUAGCAAACUUUCUUUGAACGGGAUUUGUAAUCCUUCCCCUUCCGUUGCUUGAGGAUUUGGCGAAAGCUUUUGAUGAUUAAAGCCAUCUCCUCGUUGUCGAGCUUUGAAGCGUCAAUUGGUUGUCUACUUGGUGUAGACUCCUCCUUCUUCUCCUCCGUCGCCUUGAAAGCCACCGGUUGUGCUUCGGACGUGGAGGGAUCAUCAAGCUCGUUGAUCUUCUUUGAGCCCUUGAUCAUACAUUCAAAGCUCACAAAAUUCCCAAUAACUUCCUCGGGGGUCAUUAGUGUAUAUCUAGGAUUACCACGAAUUAAUUGAACUUGAGUGGGGUUAAGGAAGAUGAGUGAUCUAAGAAUAACCUUAACCACCUCGUGGUCAUCCCAUUUCUUGCUCCCGAGGUUGCGCACUUGGUUCACCAAGGUUUUGAGCCGGUUGUACAUAUCUUGUGGCUCCUCCCCUUGGCGAAGACGGAAGCGACUGAGCUCCCCCUCGAUCGUUUCCUGCUUGGUAAUCUUGGUGAGUUCAUCACCCUCGUGCGCGGUCUUGAGUAGAUCCCAAAUUUCUUUCGCAUUCUUCAACCCUUGCACCUUGUUGUAUUCCUCUCUACUUAGAGAGGCGAGGAGUAUGGUUGUGGCUUGGGAGUUGAAGUGCUCGAUUUGGGUCACCUCAUCCUCAUCAUAGUCUUCAUCCCCUACGGAUGGUACAUGUGCACCAAACUCAACAACAUCCCAUAUACUUUUGUGGAGUGAGGUUAGAUGAAAUCGCAUUAAAUCACUCCACCUAGCAUAAUCUUCACCAUCAAAAGUUGGUGGUUUGCCUAAUGGGACGGAAAGUAAAGGUGUAUGUUUAGAAAUGCGAGGGUAGCGUAGGGGAAUCUUACUAUACUUCUUACGCUCUUGGCGUUUAGAAGUGACGGACGCCGCGUCGGAGCCAGAGGUGGAUGUCGAUGAAGAAUCGGUCUCGUAGUAGACCACUUUCCUCAUCCUCUUUUUCUUGUCCCCACUCCGUUGCGGCUCGUGGGAGGAAGACUUCUCCUUCUUUUCUUUGUGUGAAGAAGAUUUCUUCUCCUUUCCUUUGGAGGAGUCCUUCUUCUUCUCCUUCCCUUUGGAGGAGUCUUUCUUCUCCUUCCUCUUGGUGCGGGACUCUUCCGAUGAAGUGCUCCCGUGGCUUGUAGUGGGCUUUUCGCCGGUCUCCAUCUCCUUCUUGGCGUGAUCUCCCGACAUCACUUCGAGCGGUUAGGCUCUAAUGAAGCACCGGGCUCUGAUACCAAUUGAUAGUCGCCUAGAGGGGGGGUGAAUAGGGCGAAACUGAAAUUUACAAAUAUAAACACAACUACAAGCCGGGUUAGCGUUAGAAAUAAGAACGAGUCCGAGAGAGGGCGUGAAAACAAAUCGCAAGCGAAUAAUGAAGUGAGACGCGUGGAUUUGUUUUACCGAGGUUCGGUUCUCUCAAACCUACUCCCCGUUGAGGAGGCCACAAAGGCCGGGUCUCUUUCAACCCUUCCCUCUCUCAAACGGUCCCUUGGACCGAGUGAGCUUCUCUUCUCAAAUCACUUGGGAAUCAAACUUCCCGCAAGGACCACCACACAAUUGGUGUCUCUUGCCUCAAUUACAAGUGAGUGUUUGAUCACAAGAAAGAAUGCCAAAGAAAAGAAGCGAUCCAAGCGCAAGAGCUCAAAUGAACACUACAAAUCACUCUCUCUAAUCACUAAGGCUUUGUGUGGAGUUGGGAGAGGACUUGAUCUCUUUUGGUGUGCUUUGCAAUGAAUGCUAGCUCUUAUAUAGUGGUUGGAAGCUGGAAAACUUGGAUGCAAUGAAUGGUGGGGUGGUUGGGGUAUUUAUAGCCCCAACCACCAAACAUGACCGUUGGUGGAGGCUGUCUGUCAUAUGGUGCACCGGACAGUCCGGUGCGCCAGCCACGUCACCAAAGUCGUUGGAAUUUGACCGUUGGAGUUCUGUCUUCUGGGCCCGCCUUGAUGUCCGGUGGCGCACCGGACAUGUACUGUAGAGUGUCCGGUGCGCCAGCAUGGGUGUGCCUGACUUCUGCGCGCUUCUGGCGCGCAUUGAAUGCGCCUGCAGGUGACCGUUGGCGCGAAGUAGCCGUUGCUCCGCAGUUGCACCGGACAGUCCGGUGUACACCGGACAUGUCUGGUGAAUUAUAGCGGAGCAGCCGUUCUGAUUUCCUGAGGCUGCCAAGUUCCGGAGCCGCGUUUUCUUGGAGCACCGGACACUGUCCGGUGUACACCGGACAGUCCGGUGAAUUAUAGCGCGGCGGCUCCGAAAAAUUCCCGAGGCUGAGGAGUUCUGCGCGAGGUCCCCUGGUGCACCGGACACUGUCCGGUGCGCCACCGGACAGUCCGGUGCGCCAAACCAGGGAGCCUUUCGGGAUGCCUUUGGCUCUCUAUUUUGAACCCAACUUUGGUCUUUUUAAUUGGCUUGUUGUGAACCUUGGCACCUGUAUAACUUGUACACUAGAGCAAACUAGUUAGUCCAAUUAUUUGUGUUGGGCAAUUCAACCACCAAAAUUAUUUAGGAACUAGGUGUAAGCCUAAUUCCCUUUCACUAUUUCUCAAGGAAAGUCAAAUGGGCUCAGUACUGUAAAAUCUUGUUGUAGUGAACUUGAAUCUUUAAAUUAAACUGGAACUCCAUUCACGUAUAAAACAUGUAUUCAUACCAAUGGCUGUUAUGCGUGUACCUAGGAAACGGAGGGCAGUGGGGCGGUCAGGAGUACUAAUCUCCUUCAGUCGCGGUGACAAGAUAAUGGAGUCCUCUCCUUGAUCCCCAAACUCCUGAAGAAAAGACACAAUGAAAUCAGAAGCGGACAUAUGCAUAUUUGGCUAAGUUAGUGACGACUACAAAUGUAGAUGAAUAUGAGCUUGUGUGGUCCAAUUCACAUUUGAUCUCAAUUCAUAUACUAAUGUAGACCUAAGAUGUUAUGCAAAUGAACACGAAAACAUUCAAACACGAUAAAAAGAGAAUAAAUAACCCAAGAAACCAAGGACCUGUUGCUAGCCGCCACAUAUGCAUAUUUGGCUAAGUUAGUGACGGCUACAAAUGUAGAUGAAUAUGAGCUUGUGUGGUCCAUGAGACAUAUGCGGCCUUAAAAUUCAAAAUCAACCACAACCACCAAAAAACAUCUUACACGUAGGGGUGGUAAUGGAUCAUGAUCCUAAUGCUUCUUCAUAAUUCAUUUGAGCCCUUAAUUAAUUUUAGUUCAAAAAUGAAUAGAAAUAGAGCUCAAUUCUAAUCCGAUCCUUAAUUUUUAUAGUAUAAAAUUUAGAACCCAUUACCCCCCUACUUACACCCCCACACACACUAUAAACUCAUAUUCAAAUAUGUAUCAGGAAGGGGGGGGUUCAACAGAGCAGGGCCCUGUUUGGGGAAACUGUAGCUUCUCCAAAAGCAUCUCCUAGAGAGCUGGGAAGCUGCUCUGAGGGAGCUUCACUGUUUUUAGUAUAAUUACAGCUUUUGAAGCUUUUACCGGCUUGAAGAAGCUGCUCUGUUUGGGGGGAGCUUCUAGCUUUUCUUUUGGAGAAGCAAAAGCUACCAGAAGCUCCCCAAAACAGGACCCAGGACAGUCACUGAAUUGCCAAACAACUCUUGAGGGUCCUUGUAUAUAUUAUAUAAGUCACCUUUUAGGCUUAUGAAUUGUACAAAUUUAGGCUUAUCAGAGAGAAAAUGGUACAGGACAAGAGUAUUCUAGAGAUAACUGAUGAUGGCAAAGUAGUAGUGCACAAGAUAAACUUCAGGUGACAAAUCAAUACUAAAAAAACUAUUACACCUUUGCCAGUAUUAAGCAGAAGAGAUAAAUUAUGAUAUUUGAAUGAGAAUAUUUGGCUAGCUACAUACAAUUUUGGAUAGCUCACUACCCAUCUCCAUGGUUCGCAAGCACAGAGGAAUUAUUUCAGUUUGCAGCAAAAAACUGAUGACUUCAGUAUCAUCAACCUGCAUUAUUACCAAAAGGAAAAUUAAUAUCCUCAUUUACAGAAGUAUUAUUUUUAGAACAAACAAGUACUUAUUAUAUUAUUAUGUAUUUUUUAAUAAAAUGAAGGGAACAUGCAACCUACUGAUCGAAUUGAAUAACUUAUUGGGCAGAGAGCAGCAGUAUACCUUGGAUGCAACCUACUGAUCCAAUUGAAUAACCUUGGAUGCAACCUACUAAUCCAAUUGAAUAACUUAUUGGGCAGAGAGCAACAAUUAGCUUGUUACACAGCUAAUACCUUCAUAUGAAACUGGAUUUGUGGCAACUGUCAUCGCAAUUUGAUGGCUCAUAUAAAAUGACCUACAGGCUAUAAGCAGGAUGGUAACAUAAUAUAUCGCCAAACUAUAGAGGUAUUUAACAAAAUUAAAAUACAAGAUUCAUUUUUUUCUUAUUUGCAUGGGUGUUUUUAGUACCUUAGCUGCCACUUUUACUAUAUUGUGGCUAUCUCAGAGUGGUUUCUGUAUUAAAAAACGAACUCUAUUAGGAAGCAAGAGCAGACUUCAGGUACACAUAAAAGAAAUGCAAUUGACGAGACAUGAUAAGCAUUUCAAAUAAUCAUAUUCAGGUGAUUAUCACAAGUAGACAAGUAGUUACUUGAAAUCAUAGGGGUGUAAGCAGCUGAAAAUAAACAAAUGCUUAGUGUCAUGCAGUGUUUUUCAAGAGCUAGCCAACUUCUAAGUUAUACUGAUUAGACCGUUGAGGUCCAAAUGUUGAUGAAACCACGUGCCCCAGUCACCAGUCCAGUUUUUUUCAAGCACUAAUGGUUGGUUAGUUAUUUCUAUUGCAAAAUUUACCUUGUCUGCAAUCUCUGUACUUAUGACCACUCGUCAUUGUCUCCAUUUGAGGCAGAAGGAAUUUCUGGGAUCAAGUAAAGAGUUGUGUUGUAGUUUUUACAUUAGAACAAGAACAAUAUAGAGAGCAGCAAUACCAUUGGCAUCCUUUGUAGCCUGAUGUAACGCCCUGAAUUUGGGGGUAGAAUUUUUUCUUCUUUUCUCUCACCAAAUUCGGGCGUUACUCUCUUUUCUCUUUCCCCGUUUGCUCCUUCUUCCCAAUUUCAAACCAGUAUAGCGGCAGGUGUCCGUGUCAUGUAUAAACCAAAACCUAAGUGUCAUGGGUGUUGCAUCAUGCCGAAGCACAUUUCUUUGUCUGAUGUUGAGUGUUCGUCUCGUUCCGUUCCGGAUUUCGGUUCGCGAUUUAAUUCCGUUUAGUGGUCCGCGCUCGUCGUGGGUUUUCGAUCCGCGAAGUGGCCCGGCCCAUCCCAACCUAGUCCAGCCCAGCCGGCCCGGCCCACCCCGGCCUGCGCGCCCCUGGCGCCCAAACCCCCCCAUGCGCCCCCCUCCUCUCUCUCUCUCAUUUGGAUCUCCCGCGCAACAACCUCUCCUCUCCCUCUUCCACCUCUCUCUCCCCGUGGUGCCCUAGGAUUUGGAGACGGCGAUCACCGGAUUUUGGACCCCGAGGUGAGCUCCCCUCCCCUCCCCUUCUCUUCUCUCUCUCUCUCUCCCUCCUCUUCUUCUCCCCACGCGCGCCCCCUUCUCCCCCUGCUCGCGCGCGCCCCUGCCCGCCCCUGCUCGCCGGCGGCGCGGCGCCCCCCGCCCCUGCCCGGCCCCGCGCGGUGGCGCCCGCCCUCCCCCGGCCGCGGCGGCGCUCGUCCGCCCUCCCCCCGGCCGCGGCACCCGCCCCUCCCCCUCGCGCGCGGUGGCGGCGCCCGCCCCCACCCCGACCCGCGGCGACCCCGCCCCGUCCCCGCCUCUCCCCCCGCGCGCGGCGGCGCCCGCCCCCGCCCCUCCCCGCGGCGGCGCUCGCCCGCCUGCCCCUGCCCCUCCCCGCGGCGGCGCUCGCCCGCCCGCCCCUGCUCGCCCGCGGCGGCGCCCGCCCGCCCCUGCUCGCCCGCGGCGGCGCCCGCCUGCCCCUGCCCGCCUGGCGGCGCCCGUCCGCCCCCGCCCCUCCCAUGCUCGCGCGCAGCGCGGCCCCGGCGCGCCCCCGGCAUGGCCCGGCGCGGCCCCGGUGGCCCCUGCUCGCCGGCGCGACCCCGGCGCGGCCCCCGGCCCCCGGCGCGUCCCCGGCGCGGCCCCGGCCGGCUCGGCCGCCCCUGGCCGGUUCAACCGCCCCCCUGGCCGGUUCAACCGCCCUGGCCCCAGCUUGCCCGCCCGUUCCCCCGUCCCGGCCUCGCCCGACCGUAUCUUCGCUCGCCCGCGCUCGCGGUGAUUGCUCGUUAAUUAGCGUGUUGCGUCGCGCGCUUCGCCGCGCGACGGAUUUGUCUAAAAUUCAGAUUCUAUCCUGUGUUGCGUCGUGCGCUUCGUCGCGCGACGAUCCAUUUUGUUUCAGGUUGUUUAAGGUGUAACGCCGCGUGUGUAUUCACGCGACGUUCCACUUUGGACUCAGUUUAGUCGACGUAUGCCGUCGUGCGCUUCGUCGCGCGACGCUUAACGUCUCCUCUUAACUAAGGCGAAGUGUCUCGCUGCGUGCUCAGUCGCGCGACGAGUCGUUAACUUCUUAAUUUGUUUUAGAGAGCUUUGUCGCGCGUCUCGCCGCGCGGCUAUCCUUUUAUUUGUCUCCACCUGCUUAUAAUAAUUAGAUAUGAAACAUGACUUUACUUUACGCUAAACAUAGUGUCUACAUUAAAUUUCCUUCCAUUAAGCUAGUGGCUAAUUUAUAAUCAUGCAACGUGAUCGUUUCUCGACUGUCUUUUCCUCUUUCUCUCUUAACCGUACUCGCGAGCCCGCGUGGAACGUCUGUUUACUUAUUGCAUUCUAUUGUAUGGUGUACUGUUCUUUGGUAUUAAAUAUGUGGAUGUGUGUAUGUUUGCGCUCGCAUAGAGAACGAUCCGGUUGAAGAGCCCGAGGAACCCGCAGGAGAAGCCCCUGAGCAGCAGUCGGUUGGUGGAGGCAAGUGUCCCUUGACCUAUCUAUGUCCUAUUCAUUAUUUAAUUCACCUCCCGCUUUACACAUUUAUGCCUAAGGAUUGACUAGCUUUUGUUAUCCAUGUCCUUGUUCACCUAUUUGGGUUGGAUUAUUACUGUUUAGCUUUAUGCUAUUGCUUAACUCUAAUCAAUGAACAUGAUGAGAUUAUCUAUGAUACGCUGUUUUCCCUUCUCUUAUUAUGAUGUUGUGCUUGUGGUCUUCAAGGGGGCUCGAGCGGUUUCUCGAGUGCCUCUCCGUAAGGACCUGUUCUAUGGAUGACCGCCCGGGAAAACAGUGCAACCAUGAGGGUGGAAUGGGGUGCCCUUAGCUGAAUAAUUAGAGGAUCCGGGGUGUAGUUCACUUAGCCGUCGUGCCGUCAAUGGGGCUCGGUGUAUGCGGCUCGCUCUGCCAAGUUUGGGUUCGCCCCUUGGGGAGGAGUGCGGUGCAUUUAGGAAACCUAACGGGUGGCUACAGUCCCGGGGAAUCUUUGUAAAGGCUAUGUAGUGAUGCCCUGCUGGGUCACCUUGGUAGUGAUCAAUGGAGAGUCAUGAUCUCCGGGUAGAAUGGGAAUCACGGCUUGUGGGUAAAGUGCACAACCUCUGCAGAGUGUUUGAAAACUGAUAUAUCAGCCGUGCUCACGGUUAUGAGCGGCCAAGGGAGCUCCAGUGAUUAGUGGUACUUGAUCAGAGAUACUUUGGUACAGGUGGUUAUGAGAUCGAUGAUUCUGGUUAUGACUAUGAUGCUGGUAAGUGGUACUCUUUCCGUUUGGAAAGGAGUACGUUUGGGUUAAUAACUUGGGUUAAUGCUAAAACUUGGCUUUCUAUUAGUAAAUAAUAAUCUGACCAACUAAAAGCAACUGCUUGACUUAUCCCCACAUAAAGCUAGUCCACUACAGCCAAACAGGAUACUUGCUGAGUAUGUUGAUGUGUACUCACCCUUGCUCUACACACCAAACCCCCCCCCAUCCCCAGGUUGUCAGCAUUGCAACCACUGCUCAGUCGAAGAUGAAGCUGUGGAAGGAGACUUCCAGGAGUUCCAAGAUUACGAUGAGUUCUAGGUGUGGGUUAGCGGCAACCCCCAGUCGGCUGCCUGUGAAGGCCGCGGUUAUCUACGUUUCUUUUCCGCACUUUGAUUUAUUGUAAGAACUAUAUGGACGUCUCAGACGUAUGAUGUAAUCGACUAUUUCCCUUAGUAAUACUAUUUUGAGCACUGUGUGAUGAUGUCCAUGUUAUGUAACUGCUGUGUACGUGAAUAACUGAUCCUGGCACGUACAUGGUUCGCAUUCGGUUUGCCUUCUAAAACCGGGUGUGACAUAAGUGGUAUCAAAGCCGUGCUGACUGUAGGACCGCUAACCUAGAAUAGAAUGGUCGCUCUAAGGACUAUAGACCUCUGUCUCUGCCUUGACUUUGAUAUCCCUUCAAAAGUUGGUCAUACCGACCAAACCUAUGUUCUACUAUAUAUUAUACCUUGCUGAAAAUCAUGUUUUAUUCCAGUCCUUCAUUUACUUAUGAUUCAUUAUUUGCUGGUCAUAUUAAUUCUGUUCUCACCUUUUUGCUUGCGAUGUCUUUUGUAGAUGGCUCGACUUAGACACACUGCACGAAAGUCAGUCAUCCCCUUCUUACCCUCCCGCCUUGCUGAGCGUCCGCUUCGCCGUCCCGUGGCCGGACAGUCCAGCCACUUGGAGAGACUACACCACCGCCUGCGUGAGGAGCAGGAGCGUCGACGACAGGAGCAGCAGAGCUCUUCCUUCUCGCUCCACCAGGAGAUAGAGUCUGUGAGGAGCUGCUCCCCUGUGCUUCCUCUGGAGCCGCCCCCUCCACCACCACUGGGCGCCCCAGCUUCUGGAGUAGCUGCUGGAGGAGACCCAGACGAUGGAGAUGGCGACGACAGCUCGAGCCACGACACCGACUUCUCUGCUAACCUUGAGCCGGAAGGAUGGGUUACUCGACCCAUCACUCGCGACGCUGCUCGCGGGUGUCACUUCCACGAUGCGCUCGACACCCUGCUACGUCGGGCAUUUAACCAGCAUACUUGGUCUGUCGAGUAUCGCUGUGUGGUCUACCAGCACAGUCGCGGGGUCUACCCGGACCGCUGGGAGGCAACCUGCUUGGUGCGCUGCCCGGAGAACAGUCUCCAGGGUGCGGAGGCCUGCUCAGAGCACUAUUCUAUCUCUGAGCGGGACUCAGCUGAGGCAGCCAUGCAAGAUGCUGCACGGCGUGCGCUUUCGCACUACUGCUCGGUUUUCGGUGGGGCAGCUGACGGUCUUGACCUGAAGUAUUACCCCCGCCGUCCAUCUGGCAGCACAGGAGGCGUGAUUGUCUCACCUGUCGGUGAGGGCAAUCCUAGGUUGAGCAGCACAGUCAACCUAGCCGCCGUGCUAAACACGGAGCUGGACCAUGCAUUAGACGAGCUGAGUAGGGCUCGUGCUGAGAUCGCCCUGCUGCGGGCUGAGCGCGCGGAACGUCGUCACCUGGAUGGUGGUUCCCCCGCUCCCGUCGGGACUCAGCACCCGUACCGCUCACCUCAGCGUGGACACCAGUCUUAUGGCAAUCCCGCCUGCAAGACCAAGAUAACUCUAGAACCAUAUAUCGUUAGAGUUGGAUCUUGUAAUUAAUACGAAAUAUAUACAUAGAAGCUUCAGUCUUAGCGUUAGUCUCGGUCUUAGUUAGUCUUAGUUAAACAGGGUAGUUUGCUAUAUCCUGUGCAUUUAUGUUUGUCAUGAUGAACUAUGUUUGGUUUGGAUCUUUGUAAUGAUUGUCACCAGAGUGUGGGUACCCCCUGCAUUUUGGUUUACCUAUUAUGUUAAUAGAGUUAGUUAUAUAGUUGGGAAACCUUUUAUUCCACUCUCCUCUUUAUCUGAGAAACUGUGUGGUCUGUGUUGGAGAUCAGUGAAGAUGCUCAUCUGUUCAGUGCUGUUGAAGAAUUCUAUUCUCUUUUCUUAUGCUGCAAGAUUUGCCAGAUCAGUCCUGAUGUGUGGUUGCAUUCUGCAGAUGUCAGAGAACAGGCGCAGAGGAGGAAGGCGUGCUCAGCAGGAGCGAGCCGCUCAACAGGAGGAGGUGCCCCAGCAGCAGCACCUGCCGCCCCCGCCCCCGAUGUCCAUCGAGCAGAUGUUUCUGAUGCAGACUCAGGCAGUUCAAGCCAUCGGUCAGACUCUGGCCGCCAUUCAGCAGCAGCAGCAGCAGCAGGCCCCACCUCAACCUCAGAUGCCUCAGAUGCCCAGAGACAAGCGUGCUGAAUUCAUGAGAGGUCAUCCACCAACGUUCGCUCAUUCUUCUGACCCUAUGGAUGCUGAAGAUUGGCUGCGCACUGUGGAGCGGGAGUUGCAUACCGCUCAGUGCGAUGACAGGGAGAAAGUCCUGUAUGGUCCCCGUCUGUUGAGAGGAGCAGCCCAGUCAUGGUGGGAGUCUUACCUCGCCACCCAUGCCCAUCCUGACGCCAUCACCUGGGAAGAGUUCAGAGGUAGCUUUCGUCAGUACCAUGUUCCUGCAGGUCUGAUGACAGUGAAGAAGGAGGAGUUCCUGGCCCUCAAGGAAGGGCCAUUGUCUGUCAGUGAGUACCGAGACAGGUUUCUGCAAUUGUCUCGCUAUGCUCCUGAAGAUGUCAACACCGACGCCAAGCGACAGUACCGUUUCCUGAGAGGCUUGGUUGACCCUCUGCAGUACCAACUGAUGAAUCACACCUUCCCGACAUUCCAGCACCUGAUUGACAGAGCAAUCAUGACAGAAGGAAGCGUAAGGAGAUGGAAGAUCGUAAGCGCAAGAUCAGUGGACCCCAGCCUGGAAGCAGCAAUCGUCCUCGUUUCUCAGGCAAUCAACCUCAGCAGUUCAGGCAGAACCAGCGUCCACCUCAGCAGCAGCAGCAAUUCCAAAGGCAGUAUCCUCAGCACCAGUACCAGAACCGUCAGAGCAAUCAGUCAGGAGGUCAGUUUCAGAGGCAGAAUCAGCAAGCACCUCGUCUUCCUGCCCCAGCAAAUCAGCAGAACAGUCAGGCAGCACCAGCUCAGGUUGGAAACAGAGCAUGUUUCCACUGUGGAGAGCAAGGCCACUGGGUGAUGCAAUGUCCGAAGAAGGCAGCCCAGCAGCAGUCAGGCCCCAAUGCCCCAGCGAAGCAGAAUGUGCCUCAGCCUGGAGCAGGCAAUCGCUCUCAGCCGCGCUAUAAUCAUGGAAGGCUGAACCACUUGGAGGCUGAAGCAGUGCAGGAGACCCCCGGCAUGAUAGUAGGUAUGUUCCCAGUCGACUCCCAUAUUGCAGAAGUGUUAUUUGAUACUGGAGCAACGCAUUCUUUCAUUACUGCAUCAUGGGUAGAAGCACAUAACCUUCCAAUUACUACCAUGUCAACCCCCAUUCAAAUUGACUCAGCCGGUGGUAGAAUUCGAGCCGAUAGCAUUUGUUUGAAUAUAAGUGUGGAAAUAAGGGGGAUAGCGUUUCCCGCCAACCUUAUAGUAAUGGGUACUCAGGCAAUAGAUGUCAUCCUAGGGAUGAAUUGGCUAGAUAAGUAUCAGGCAGUUAUCAGUUGUGAUAAAAGGACCAUCAAGUUGGUGUCCCCACUAGGAGAGGAAGUGGUGACCGAGUUAGUCCCGCCUGAGCCAAAGAAAGGAAGUUGUUAUCAGAUAGCUGUUGAUAGCAGUGAAGCAGACCCAAUCGAGAGGAUCAAGGUUGUGUCCGAGUUCCCAGAUGUGUUUCCAAAGGACUUACCGGGUAUGCCACCAGAGCGGAAAGUUGAGUUUGCUAUAGAGCUUCUUCCCGGAACCGCCCCUAUCUUUAAGAGAGCUUACAGAAUAUCUGGACCAGAGUUGGUUGAGCUUAAGAAGCAGAUUGAUGAGCUGUCAGAGAAAGGUUACAUUCGGCCAAGCACCUCGCCUUGGGCCGCCCCUGUCCUAUUUGUGGAGAAGAAAGAUGGCACCAAGAGGAUGUGUAUCGAUUAUCGAGCUUUGAAUGAAGUCACGAUCAAGAACAAGUAUCCCUUGCCCAGAAUAGAAGAUUUGUUCGACCAGUUGAGAGGAGCCAGUGUGUUCUCCAAGAUUGAUCUGAGGUCAGGUUAUCAUCAGCUCAGGAUCCGACCUUCGGACAUUCCGAAGACGGCAUUCAUUUCCAAGUAUGGUUUGUAUGAGUUCACAGUGAUGUCUUUUGGUUUGACCAAUGCGCCAGCGUUCUUCAUGAACUUGAUGAACAGUGUAUUCAUGGAUUAUCUCGAUAAGUUUGUGGUGGUAUUCAUUGAUGACAUUCUGGUUUAUUCUCAAAGCGAAGAAGAGCACGCAGAUCAUUUGAGGUUGGUAUUGCAGAGAUUGCGAGAGCAUCAGUUGUAUGCAAAGUUGAGCAAGUGUGAGUUCUGGAUCAGUGAGGUCCUGUUCUUGGGUCACAUAAUCAACAAAGAAGGAUUGGUUGUGGAUCCGAAGAAAGUGGCAGACAUUUUGAACUGGAAAGCGCCAACAGAUGCUAGAGGAAUCAAGAGUUUCAUUGGAAUGGCCGGAUACUAUCGGCGAUUCAUUGAAGGGUUUUCGAAGAUCGCAAAACCAAUGACAGCGUUGCUAGGCAACAAAGUUGAGUUCAAGUGGACCCAGAAAUGUCAAGAGGCCUUUGAAGCGCUGAAAGAGAAGUUGACUACAGCGCCUGUCCUAGUCUUGCCUGAUGUGCACAAGCCCUUCUCAGUGUAUUGUGAUGCUUGUUACACAGGUUUGGGAUGUGUGUUGAUGCAAGAGGGAAGAGUUGUGGCUUACUCGUCCCGACAACUGAAGGUUCAUGAGAAGAAUUACCCAAUCCAUGAUCUAGAGUUGGCAGCAGUGGUUCACGCACUGAAGUCAUGGAGGCACUAUCUGUAUGGACAGAAAUGCGAUGUUUACACAGAUCACAAGAGUCUGAAGUACAUAUUCACUCAGUCAGAGUUGAACAUGAGGCAACGAAGAUGGUUAGAGUUGAUCAAAGAUUAUGAGUUGGAGAUUCAUUACCAUCCAGGCAAAGCAAACGUAGUGGCAGAUGCUUUGAGCAGAAAGAGUCAAGUCAAUCUGAUGGUCGCUCGUCCGAUGCCUUAUGAGUUGGCCAAAGAGUUUGACAAGUUGAGUCUCGGUUUUCUGAAUAAUUCGCGAGGAGUCAAAGUUGAGUUGGAACCUACCUUGGAGCGCGAAAUCAAAGAAGCGCAGAAGAAUGAUGAGAAAAUCAGCGAGAUCCGGCGACUGAUUCUAGAUGGCAAAGGCAAAGAAUUUCGAGAAGAUGCAGAAGGCGUGAUAUGGUUCAAAGACCGCUUGUGUGUUCCUAAUGUCCAGUCUAUUCGGGAGUUGAUUCUCAAGGAAGCUCAUGAGACGUCCUAUUCGAUUCACCCUGGCAGUGAGAAGAUGUAUCAGGAUCUGAAAAAGAAAUUCUGGUGGUACGGAAUGAAGAGGGAGAUCGCAGAGCAUGUGGCUAGGUGCGAUAGUUGCCGAAGAAUUAAGGCAGAGCACCAGAGACCUGCUGGAUUGUUGCAACCAUUGCAGAUCCCUCAGUGGAAAUGGGACGAAAUCGGUAUGGAUUUCAUAGUCGGAUUGCCUCGCACUCGAGCCGGCUACGAUUCCAUCUGGGUAGUAGUGGACCGCUUGACCAAGUCAGCCCACUUCAUACCUGUCAAGACCAACUACAGCAGUGCAGUAUUGGCAGAAUUGUAUAUGUCUCGGAUCAUUUGUCUUCAUGGUGUGCCAAAGAAGAUAGUGUCAGACAGAGGAACGCAGUUCACCUCUCAUUUCUGGCAGCAGUUGCAUGAAGCUUUGGGCACGCAUCUGAAUUUCAGUUCAGCUUAUCAUCCACAGACAGAUGGCCAGACCGAAAGGACCAACCAAAUUCUUGAAGAUAUGUUGAGAGCCUGUGCGUUGCAAGAUCAGUCCGGAUGGGAUAAGAGAUUGCCUUAUGCAGAGUUUUCCUGUAACAACAGUUACCAGGCCAGCUUGAAGAUGUCACCAUUUCAGGCGCUCUAUGGAAGGAGUUGUAGAACUCCGUUGCAAUGGGAUCAGCCUGGAGAAAAGCAAGUGUUUGGGCCAGACAUUUUGCUUGAAGCCGAAGAGAACAUCAAGAUGGUCCGAGAGAAUCUGAAGAUAGCGCAAUCGAGGCAGCGAAGCUAUGCAGACACAAGAAGAAGAGAGCUGAGUUUCGAAGUCGGAGACUUUGUCUAUCUGAAAGUGUCACCAAUCAGAGGAGUCAGAAGGUUCGGAGUGAAAGGCAAGCUAGCACCCCGCUACAUUGGUCCGUAUCAGAUUCUUGCAAGACGUGGAGAAGUGGCCUAUCAGCUCAGUUUGCCAGAGAAUUUGUCUGCUGUGCAUGAUGUCUUUCAUGUGUCUCAGUUGAAGAAGUGCUUGCGUGUGCCAGAAGAGCAGUUGCCAGUAGAAGGUCUUGAAGUCCAGGAGGACUUGACCUACGUUGAGAAGCCAGUGCAAAUCCUUGAGGUUGCAGACCGAGUCACCUGGAGGAAGACCAUCAGAAUGUGCAAAGUCAGAUGGGAUCAUCACUCUGAGGAAGAAGCAACCUGGGAGCGUGAAGAUGAUCUGAUGGCCAAGUACCCUGAGCUCUUUGCUAGCCAACCCUGAAUCUCGAGGGCGAGAUUCUUUUAAGGGGGAUAGGUUUGUAACGCCCUGAAUUUGGGGGUAGAAUUUUUCUUCUUUUCUCUCACCAAAUUCGGGCGUUACUCUCUUUUCUCUUUCCCCGUUUGCUCCUUCUUCCCAAUUUCAAACCAGUAUAGCGGCAGGUGUCCGUGUCAUGUAUAAACCAAAACCUAAGUGUCAUGGGUGUUGCAUCAUGCCGAAGCACAUUUCUUUGUCUGAUGUUGAGUGUUCGUCUCGUUCCGUUCCGGAUUUCGGUUCGCGAUUUAAUUCCGUUUAGUGGUCCGCGCUCGUCGCGGGUUUUCGAUCCGCGAAGUGGCCCGACCCAUCCCAACCUAGUCCAGCCCAGCCCAGCCGGCCCGGCCCGCCCCGGCCUGCGCGCCCCUGGCGCCCAAACCCCCCAUGCGCCCCCCCUCCUCUCUCUCUCUCAUUUGGAUCUCCCGCGCAACAACCUCUCCUCUCCCUCUUCCACCUCUCUCUCCCCGUGGUGCCCUAGGAUUUGGAGACGGCGAUCACCGGAUUUUGGACCCCGAGGUGAGCUCCCCUCCCCUCCCCUUCUCUUCUCUCUCUCUCUCCCUCCUCUUCUUCUCCCCACGCGCGCCCCCCUUCUCCCCCUGCUCACGCGCGCCCCUGCCCGCCCCCGCUCACCGGCGGCGCGGCGCCCCCCGCCCCUGCCCGGCCCGCGCGGCGGCGCCCGCCCUCCCCCGGCCGCGGCGGCGCUCGUCCGCCCUCACCCCGGCCGCGGCGCCCGCCCCUCCCCCUCGCGCGCGGUGGCGGCGCCCGCCCCCACCCCGACCCGCGGCGACCCCGCCCCGUCCCCGCCUCUCCCCCCGCGCGCGGCGGCGCCCGCCCCCCGCCCCUCCCCGCGGCGGCGCUCGCCCGCCCGCCCCUGCCCCUCCCCGCGGCGGCGCCCGCCCGCCCCUGCUCGCGCGCAGCGCGGCCCCGGCGCGCCCCCGGCAUGGCCCGGCGCGGCCCCGGUGGCCCCUGCUCGCCGGCGCGACCCCGGCGUGGCCCCCAGCCCCCGGCGCGUCCCCGGCGCGGCCCCGGCCGGCUCGGCCGCCCCUGGCCGGUUCAACCGCCCCCCCUGGCCGGUUCAACCGCCCUGGCCCCAGCUCGCCCGCCCGUUCCCCCGUCCCGGCCUCGCCCGACCGUAUCUUCGCUCGCCCGCGCUCGCGGUGAUUGCUCGUUAAUUAGCGUGUUGCGUCGCGCGCUUCGCCGCGCGACGGAUUUAUCUAAAAUUCAGAUUCUAUCCUGUGUUGCGUCGUGCGCUUCGUCGCGCGACGAUCCAUUUUGUUUCAGGUUGUUUAAGGUGUAACGCCGCGUGUGUAUUCACGCGACGUUCCACUUUGGACUCAGUUUAGUCGACGUAUGCCGUCGUGCGCUUCGUCGCGCGACGCUUAACGUCUCCUCUUAACUAAGGCGAAGUGUCUCGCUGCGUGCUCAGUCGCGCGACGAGUCGUUAACUUCUUAAUUUGUUUUAGAGAGCUUUGUCGCGCGUCUCGCCGCGCGGCUAUCCUUUUAUUUGUCUCCACCUGCUUAUAAUAAUUAGACAUGAAACAUGACUUUACUUUACGCUAAACAUAGUGUCUACAUUAAAUUUCCUUCCAUUAAGCUAGUGGCUAAUUUAUAAUCAUGCAACGUGAUCGUUUCUCGACUGUCUUUUCCUCUUUCUCUCUUAACCGUACUCGCGAGCCCGCGUGGAACGUCUGUUUACUUAUUGCAUUCUAUUGUAUGGUGUACUGUUCUUUGGUAUUAAAUAUGUGGAUGUGUGUAUGUUUGCGCUCGCAUAGAGAACGAUCCGGUUGAAGAGCCCGAGGAACCCGCAGGAGAAGCCCCUGAGCAGCAGUCGGUUGGUGGAGGCAAGUGUCCCUUGACCUAUCUAUGUCCUAUUCAUUAUUUAAUUCACCUCCCGCUUUACACAUUUAUGCCUAAGGAUUGACUAGCUUUUGUUAUCCAUGUCCUUGUUCACCUAUUUGGGUUGGAUUAUUACUGUUUAGCUUUAUGCUAUUGCUUAACUCUAAUCAAUGAACAUGAUGAGAUUAUCUAUGAUACGCUGUUUUCCCUUCUCUUAUUAUGAUGUUGUGCUUGUGGUCUUCAAGGGGGCUCGAGCGGUUUCUCGAGUGCCUCUCCGUAAGGACCUGUUCUAUGGAUGACCGCCCGGGAAAACUGAAAGGGAAUUAGGCUUACACCUAGUCCCUAAUUAAUUUUGGUGGUUGAAUUGCCCAACACAAACAAUUGGACUAACUAAGUUUGCACAAGUUUAUAGAUUACACAGGUGUAAAAGGUUCACACUCAGCCAAUAAAAGGACCAAGUUUUUGGAUUCAACAAAGGAGCAUAGUGGGAACCGAAGGCCCUCUGGUCUGAGAGCACCGGACUGUCCGGUGUACACCGGACAGCGUCCGGUGCACCAGAGGACUCAAGCUCCAACUCGCCCCCUUCGAGAAUUGCCAGAGGCGACUCCGCUAUAAUUCACCGGACUGUCCGGUGUACACCGGACAGUGUCCGGUGCGCCAAGGGAGGUCGGCCUCAGGAACUCGCCAGCUUCGGGAAAAGCCAUCGGCCCGUCCACUAUAAUUCACCGGACUGUCCGGUGUGCACCGGACUGUCCGGUGCGACUCGAGAGCAACGGCUAUUUCCGCGCCAACGGCUCUCUGCCGCGCAUUUAAUGCGCGCUCUGCGCGCGCAGAUGUCAGGCGCGCCCACUCCGGCACACCGGACAAGGAACAGUAGAUGUCCGGUGUGCACCGGACACCCAGGCGGGCCCACAAGUCAGAAGCUUCAACGGCUAGAAUCCAACGGCAGUGAUGACGUGGCAGGGGCACCGGACUGUCCGGUGUGCACCGGACUGUCCGGUGCGCCAUCGAACAGACAACCCAGCCAACGGUCAAGUUUGGUGGUUGGGGCUAUAAAUACCCCAACCACCCCACCAUUCAUUGCAUCCAAGUUUUCCACUUCUCAACUACUACAAGAGCUCUAGCAUUCAAUUCUAGACACACCAAAAGAGAUCAAAUCCUCUCCAAUUCCACAAAAGGCUUUAGUGAUUAGAGAGAGAGAUUUGCCGUGUUCUUUUUGAGCUCUUGCGCUUGGAUUGCUUCUUUUCUUUCGCACUUGUUCUUGUGAUCAAAAACCCAUUGUAAUCAAGGCAAGAGGCACCAAUUGUGUGGUGGCCCUUGUUGGGAAGUUUUGUUCCCAACUUUGAUUAGAGAAGAGAAGCUCACUCGGUCCGAGGGACCGUUUGAGAGAGGGAAGGGUUGAAAGAGACCCGGCCUUUGUGGCCUCCUCAACGGGGAGUAGGUUUGCGAGAACCGAACCUCGGUAAAACAAAUCCACGUGUCACACUCUUCAUUUGCUUGCGAUUUGUUUUGCGCCCUCUCUCGCGGACUCGUUUCUUCAUUACUAACGCUAACCCGGCUUGUAGUUGUGUUUAUAUUUGUAAAUUUCAGUUUCGCCCUAUUCACCCCCCCUCUAGGCGACUAUCAAUUGGUAUCAGAGCCCGGUGCUUCGUUAGAGCCUAACCGCUCGAAGUGAUGUCGGGAGAUCACGCCAAGAAGGAGAUGGAGACCGGCGAAAAGCCCACUACAAGCAACGAGAGCACUUCAUUGGAAGAGUCCCGCACCAAACGGAGGGAGAAGAAGAAGAGCUCCUCCAACAAAGGGAAGGAGAAGAAAUCUUCUUCUCACCACAAAGAGAAGAAGGAAAAAUCUUCUUCCCACAAGCCUCAUCGGAGUGGGGACAAACAAAAGAGGAUGAGGAAAGUGGUCUACUACGAGACCGACACUUCAUCAACAUCAACCUCCGGCUCCGACGCGCCCUCCGUAACUUCUAAACGCCAAGAGCGUAAGAAGUUUAGUAAGAUUCCCCUACACUACCCUCGCAUUUCUAAACAUGCACCUUUACUUUCCGUCCCGUUAGGCAAACCACCAACUUUUGAUGGUGAAGAUUAUGCUAGGUGGAGUGAUUUAAUGCGAUUUCAUCUAACCUCACUCCACAAAAGUAUAUGGGAUGUUGUUGAGUUUGGUGCACAGGUACCAUCCGUAGGGGAUAAGGAUUAUGAUGAGGAUGAGGUGGCCCAAAUCGAGCACUUCAACUCUCAAGCAACAACAAUACUCCUCGCCUCUUUAAGUAGAGAGGAGUAUAACAAAGUUCAAGGGUUGAAGAGCGCCAAGGAGGUUUGGGAUGUGCUCAAAACCGCGCACGAGGGAGACGAGCUCACAAAGAUCACCAAGCGGGAAACGAUCGAGGGGGAGCUCGGUCGGUUUCGGCUUCGCAAAGGGGAGGAGCCACAACACAUGUACAACCGGCUCAAGACCUUGGUGAACCAAGUGCGCAACCUCGGGAGCAUAAAGUGGGACGACCACGAGGUGGUUAAGGUUAUUCUAAGAUCACUUAUUUUCCUUAACCCUACUCAAGUUCAAUUAAUUCGUGGUAAUCCUAGAUAUACUAAAAUGACCCCCGAGGAAGUUAUCGGGCAUUUUGUAAGUUUUGAGUGCAUGAUCGAAGGCUCGAGAAAGAUCAAUGAGCUUGACGAACCCACCACAUCCGAAGCUCAACCCGUCGCAUUCAAGGCAACGGAAGAAAAGAAGGAGGAGGCUACACCAAGUCGACAACCAAUAGACGCCUCCAAGCUCGACAAUGAGGAAAUGGCGCUCGUCAUCAAGAGCUUCCGCCAAAUCCUCAAACAAAGGAGGGGGAAAGACUACAAGUCCCGCUCCAAGAAGGUUUGCUACAAAUGUGGUAAGCCCGGUCAUUUUAUUGCUAAAUGUCCCAUAUCUAGUGACAGUGACCGUGGCGACGACAAGAAGGGGAGAAGAAAGGAGAAGAAGAAGUACUACAAGAAGAAGGGCGGCGAUGCCCAUGUUUGUCGGGAGUGGGAUUCCGACGAAAGCUCAAGCGACUCCUCCGACGACGAGGACGCCGCCAACAUCGCCGUCACCAAGGGACUCCUCUUCCCCAACGUCGGCCACAAGUGCCUCAUGGCAAAGGACGGCAAAAGGAAGAAGGUAAAAUCAAGAUCCUCCACUAAAUAUGAAACCUCUAGUGAUGAAAAUGCUAGUGAUGAGGAGGAUAACUUGCGUACCCUUUUUGCUAAUCUUAACAUGGAACAAAAGGAAAAAUUAAAUGAAUUAAUUAGUGCUAUUCAUGAAAAAGAUGACCUUUUGGAUUCCCAAGAGGAUUGUCUUAUUAAGGAAAACAAGAAACAUGUUAAGGUUAAAAAUGCUUACGCCCUAGAAGUAGAAAAAUGUCAAAAACUAUCUAGUGAGCUAAGCACUUGCCAUGAGAUGAUUGACAACCUUAGACAUGAAAAUACUAGUUUAAAUGCUAAGGUUGAUUCACAUGUUUGUAAUGUUUCAAUUCCCAAUCCUAAAGAUAAUAAUGAUGAUUUGCUUGCUAGGAUUGAAGAAUUAAACAUUUCUCUUGCUAGCCUUAGAACAGAAAAAUGAAAAUUUAAUUGCUAAGGCUAAAGAUUUUGAUGUUUGCAAAACUACAAUUUCCGAUCUUAGGGAUAAAAAUGAUAUUCUUCAUGCUAAGAUUGUUGAACUUAAUUCUUGCAAACCCUCUACAUCUACUGUUGAGCAUGUAUCUAUUUGUACUAGAUGUAGAGAUGUUGAUGUUAAUGCUAUUCAUGAUCAUAUGACCUUAAUUAAACAACAAAAUGAUCAUAUAGCAAAACUAGAUGCUAAAAUUGCCGAGCACAACUUAGAAAAUGAGAAAUUUAAAUUUGCUCGUGGCAUGCUUUAUAAUGGGAGACGCCCGGGCAUUAAAGAUGGCAUUGGCUUCCAAAGGGGAAACAAUGUCAAAAUUAGUGCCCCUCCUAAAAGAUUGUCCAACUUUGUUAAGGGCAAGGCUCCCAUGCCUCAGGAUAACGAGGGUUACAUUUUAUACCCUGCCGGUUAUCCCGAGAACAAAAUUAGGAGAAUUCAUUCUAGGAAGUCUCACUCUGGUCCUAAUUAUGCUUUUAUGUAUAAGGGUGAGACAUCUAGCUCUAGGCAACCAACCCGUGCCAAGUUGCCUAGAAAGAAAACUCCUAGUGCAUCAAAUGAUCAUGACAUUUCAUUCAAAACUUUUGAUGCAUCUUAUGUGUUGACUAACAAAUCCGGCAAGGUAGUUGCCAAAUAUGUUGGGGGCAAGCACAAGGGCUCCAAGACUUGUGUUUGGGUACCCAAAGUUCUUGUGUCUAAUGCCAAAGGACCCAAAACCAUUUGGGUACCUAAAAUCAAGAACUAAAAUUAUUUUGUAGGUUUAUGCAUCCGGGGGCUCAAGCUGGAUACUCGACAGCGGGUGCACAAACCACAUGACUGGGGAGAAAAAGAUGUUCUCCUCAUAUGAGAAAAACCAAGAUCCCCAAAGAGCGAUCACAUUUGGGGAUGGAAAUCAAGGUUUGGUCAAAGGAUUGGGUAAAAUUGCUAUAUCUCCUGACCAUUCUAUUUCCAAUGUUUUUCUUGUAGAUUCUUUAGAUUACAAUUUGCUUUCUGUAUCCCAAUUGUGUCAAAUGGGCUACAACUGUCUUUUUACUGAUGUUGGUGUCACUGUCUUUAGAAGAAGUGAUGAUUCAAUAGCAUUUAAGGGAGUGUUAGAGGGUCAGCUAUACUUGGUAGAUUUCGAUAGAGCUGAACUCGACACUUGCUUAAUUGCUAAGACUAACAUGGGUUGGCUCUGGCAUCGCCGACUUGCACAUGUUGGGAUGAAGAAUCUUCACAAGCUUCUAAAGGGAGAACACAUUUUAGGAUUGACAAAUGUUUAUUUUGAGAAAGACAGGAUUUGUAGCGCAUGCCAAGCAGGGAAGCAAGUUGGCUCUCAUCAUCCGCAUAAGAACAUAAUGACGACCGACAGGCCACUGGAGCUCCUACACAUGGAUCUAUUCGGCCCGAUCGCUUACAUAAGCAUCGGCGGGAGUAAGUACUGUCUAGUUAUUGUGGAUGAUUAUUCUCGCUUCACUUGGGUAUUCUUUUUACAGGAAAAAUCUCAAACCCAAGAGACCUUAAAGGGAUUCUUAAGACGGGCUCAAAAUGAGUUCGGCUUAAGGAUCAAGAAAAUUAGAAGCGACAACGGGACGGAGUUCAAGAACUCUCAAAUCGAAGGCUUUCUUGAGGAGGAGGGCAUCAAGCAUGAGUUCUCUUCACCCUACACGCCACAACAAAAUGGUGUAGUGGAGAGGAAGAAUCGAACUCUAUUGGACAUGGCAAGAACCAUGCUUGAUGAGUACAAAACUUCGGAUCGGUUUUGGGCCGAGGCAGUCAACACCGCUUGCUACGCCAUCAACCGGUUAUAUCUACACCGAAUCCUCAAGAAGACAUCAUACGAACUCCUCACCGGUAAAAAGCCCAAUAUUUCAUAUUUUAGAGUUUUUGGUAGCAAAUGCUUUAUUCUUGUUAAAAGAGGUAGAAAAUCUAAAUUUGCUCCUAAGACUGUAGAAGGCUUUUUACUUGGUUAUGACUCAAACACAAGGGCAUAUAGGGUCUUUAACAAGUCCACUGGACUAGUUGAAGCCUCAUGUGACGUUGUGUUUGAUGAAACUAACGGCUCUCAAGUAGAGCAAGUUGAUCUUGAUGAGAUAGGUGAUGAAGAGGCUCCAUGCAUCGCGCUAAGGAACAUGUCCAUUGGGGAUGUGUGUCCUAAGGAAUCCGAAGAGCCUCCAAAUACACAAGAUCAACCGUCCUCCUCCAUGCAAGCAUCUCCACCGACUCAAAAUGAGGAUGAAGCUCAAGUUGAUGAAGAAGAAGAUCAAUCAAAUGAGCCACCUCUAGAUGACGGCAUAGAUCAAGGGGGAGAUGCAAAUGAUCAAGACAAGGAGGACGAGCAACGCCCGCCACACCCAAGAGUCCACCAAGCAAUCCAACGAGACCACCCCGUCGACACCAUCCUCGGCGACAUUCAUAAGGGGGUAACUACUAGAUCUCGGGUUGCUCAUUUUUGUGAACAUUACUCUUUUGUUUCCUCUAUUGAGCCACAUAGGUUAGAGGAAGCACUUCAAGAUUCGGAUUGGGUGGUGGCGAUGCAAGAGGAGCUCAACAACUUCACUAGGAAUGAGGUAUGACAUUUAGUUCCACGUCCUAACCAAAAUGUUGUAGGAACCAAAUGGGUUUUCCGCAACAAGCAAGACGAGCAUGGUGUGGUGACAAGGAACAAAGCUCGACUUGUGGCCAAGGGAUACUCCCAAGUCGAAGGUUUGGAUUUCGGUGAAACCUAUGCACCAGUAGCUAGGCUUGAGUCAAUUCGCAUAUUAUUAGCCUAUGCUACUUACCAUGGCUUUAAGCUUUAUCAAAUGGACGUGAAAAGUGCCUUCCUCAAUGGACCAAUCAAGGAAGAGGUCUAUGUUGAGCAACCUCCCGGCUUUGAAGACAGUGAGUAUCCUAAUCAUGUCUAUAAGCUCUCUAAGGCGCUUUAUGGGCUCAAGCAAGCCCUAAGAGCAUGGUAUGAAUGCCUUAGAGAUUUCCUUAUUGCUAAUGGCUUCAAAGUCGGUAAAGCCGAUCCUACACUCUUUACUAAAACUCUUGAAAAUGACUUGUUUAUAUGCCAAAUUUAUGUUGAUGAUAUUAUAUUUGGAUCUACUAACGAGUCCACUUGUGAAGAGUUUAGUAGGAUCAUGACACAGAAAUUCGAGAUGUCUAUGAUGGGGGAGUUGAAGUAUUUUCUAGGAUUCCAAGUCAAGCAACUCCAAGAGGGCACCUUCAUUAGCCAAACAAAAUACACUCAAGAUAUUCUAAGCAAGUUUGGAAUGAAGGAUGCCAAGCCCAUCAAGACACCCAUGGGAACUAAUGGGCAUCUCGACCUCGACACGGGAGGUAAGUCCGUGGAUCAAAAGCUAUACCGGUCGAUGAUAGGUUCUUUACUCUAUUUAUGUGCAUCUCGACCGGACAUUAUGCUUUCCGUAUGCAUGUGUGCAAGAUUCCAAGCCGACCCUAAGGAAGCCCACCUUACGGCCGUAAAACGAAUCUUGAGAUAUCUGGCUUAUACUCCUAAGUUUGGGCUUUGGUAUCCUAGGGGAUCCACAUUUGAUUUGAUUGGUUAUUCGGAUGCCGAUUGGGCAGGGUGCAAAAUCAAUAGGAAGAGCACAUCCGGGACUUGCCAGUUCUUGGGAAGAUCCUUGGUGUCUUGGGCUUCAAAGAAGCAAAAUUCGGUCGCUCUUUCCACCGCCGAAGCCGAGUAUAUUGCCGCAGGCCACUGUUGCGCGCAACUGCUUUGGAUGAGGCAAACCCUGCGGGACUAUGGUUACAAACUAACCAAGGUCCCUUUGCUAUGUGAUAAUGAGAGUGCAAUCAAAAUGGUCGACAAUCCCGUCGAGCAUAGCCGCACUAAGCACAUAGCCAUUCGGUAUCACUUUUUGAGGGAUCACCAACAAAAGGGAGAUAUCGAGAUUUCAUACAUUAAUACUAACGAUCAAUUAGCUGAUAUCUUUACCAAGCCUCUUGAUGAACAAUCUUUUAACAAACUUAGGCAUGAGCUCAAUAUUCUUGAUUCUAGGAACUUCUUUUGUUAAAUUGCACACAUUGUUCUUUUAUAUACCUUUGAUCAUAUCUCUUUUAUAUGCUAUGACUAAUGUGUUUUCAAGUCUAUUUCAAACCAAGUCAUAGGUAUAUUGAAAGGGAAUUGGAGUCUUCGGCGAAGACAAAGGCUUCCACUCCGUACCUCAUCCUUCGCCAUCACUUCAAGCAACUCUCCGUUCUCGGGGGAGAUAAGCAUGAGCAUCAAAGAAAAGGACUUUGGGGGAGAAAUGAGCCCAAAGCCAAAGGACCGGACUUCGUCUUUGGUAUAAUCUUAACUCAUUUAUUUAUGACCAAAAGGGAAAAUAGCACUUCGAGGGCUCUAAUGAUUCCGUUUUUGGCGAUUCAUGCCAAAAAGGGGGAGAAAUGAGCCCAAAGCAAAAGGACCGCACCACCACCAAUUUCAAAAACUUAGUGUUGAAUAUUUUUCAAUUUGUAUCUUAUUUUCAAUUGGUAUCUUAUUGUGUUCAAAAGGGGGAGAAAGUAGUAUUUUAAAAUGAUAUAUCAAAAACCCUCUUGAAUACUAAGAGGAGGAUCUCUUUUAGGGGGAGUUUUGUUUAAGUCAAAGGAAAAGCAUUUGAAACAGGGGGAGAAAAUUUCAAAUCUUGAGAAUGCUUUGCAAAAAUCCUAUUCAUUUACCUUUGACUAUUUGCAAAAGAACUUUGAAAAGGAUUUACAAAAUAAUUUGCAAAAACAAAACUCGUGGUGCAAGCGUGGUCCAAAAUGUUAUAUAAAGAAAGAAACAAUCCAUGCAUAUCUUGUAAGUAUUCAUAUUGGCUCAAUUCCAAGCAACCUUUACACUUACAUUAUGCAAACUAGUUCAAUUAUACACUUCUAUAUUUGCUUUGGUUUGUGUUGGCAUCAAUCACCAAAAAGGGGGAGAUUGAAAGGGAAUUAGGCUUACACCUAGUCCCUAAUUAAUUUUGGUGGUUGAAUUGCCCAACACAAACAAUUGGACUAACUAAGUUUGCACAAGUUUAUAGAUUACACAGGUGUAAAAGGUUCACACUCAGCCAAUAAAAGGACCAAGUUUUUGGAUUCAACAAAGGAGCAUAGUGGGAACCGAAGGCCCUCUGGUCUGAGAGCACCGGACUGUCCGGUGUACACCGGACAGUGUCCGGUGCACCAGAGGACUCAAGCUCCAACUCGCCCCCUUCGGGAAUUGCCAGAGGCGACUCCGCUAUAAUUCACCGGACUGUCCGGUGUACACCGGACAGUGUCCGGUGCGCCAAGGGAGGUCGGCCUCAGGAACUCGCCAGCUUCGGGAAAAGCCAUCGGCCCGUCCACUAUAAUUCACCGGACUGUCUGGUGUGCACCGGACUGUCCGGUGCGACUCGAGAGCAACGGCUAUUUCCGCGCCAACGGCUCUCUGCCGCGCAUUUAAUGCGCGCUCUGCGCGCGCAGAUGUCAGGCGCGCCCACUCCGGCACACCGGACAAGGAACAGUAGAUGUCCGGUGUGCACCGGACACCCAGGCGGGCCCACAAGUCAGAAGCUUCAACGGCUAGAAUCCAACGGCAGUGAUGACGUGGCAGGGGCACCGGACUGUCCGGUGUGCACCGGACUGUCCGGUGCGUCAUCGAACAGACAACCCAGCCAACGGUCAAGUUUGGUGGUUGGGGCUAUAAAUACCCCCAACCACCCCACCAUUCAUUGCAUCCAAGUUUUCCACUUCUCAACUACUACAAGAGCUCUAGCAUUCAAUUCUAGACACACCAAAAGAGAUCAAAUCCUCUCCAAUUCCACAAAAGGCUUUAGUGAUUAGAGAGAGAGAUUUGCCGUGUUCUUUUUGAGCUCUUGCGCUUGGAUUGCUUCUUUUCUUUCGCACUUGUUCUUGUGAUCAAAAACCCAUUGUAAUCAAGGCAAGAGGCACCAAUUGUGUGGUGGCCCUUGUUGGGAAGUUUUGUUCCCAACUUUGAUUAGAGAAGAGAAGCUCACUCGGUCCGAGGGACCGUUUGAGAGAGGGAAGGGUUGAAAGAGACCCGGCCUUUGUGGCCUCCUCAACGGGGAGUAGGUUUGCGAGAACCGAACCUCGGUAAAACAAAUCCACGUGUCACACUCUUCAUUUGCUUGCGAUUUGUUUUGCGCCCUCUCUCGCGGACUCGUUUCUUCAUUACUAACGCUAACCCGGCUUGUAGUUGUGUUUAUAUUUGUAAAUUUCAGUUUCGCCCUAUUCACCCCCCCUCUAGGCGACUAUCAAAAACAGUGCAACCAUGAGGGUGGAAUGGGGUGCCCUUAGCUGAAUAAUUAGAGGAUCCGGGGUGUAGUUCACUUAGCCAUCGUGCCGUCAAUGGGGCUCGGUGUAUGCGGCUCGCUCUGCCAAGUUUGGGUUCGCCCCUUGGGGAGGAGUGCGGUGCAUUUAGGAAACCUAACGGGUGGCUACAGUCCCGGGGAAUCUUUGUAAAGGCUACGUAGUGAUGCCCUGCUGGGUCACCUUGGUAGUGAUCAAUGGAGAGUCAUGAUCUCCGGGCAGAAUGGGAAUCACGGCUUGUGGGUAAAGUGCACAACCUCUGCAGAGUGUUUGAAAACUGAUAUAUCAGCCGUGCUCACGGUUAUGAGCAGCCAAGGGAGCUCCAGUGAUUAGUGGUACUUGAUCAGAGAUACUUUGGUACAGGUGGUUAUGAGAUCGAUGAUUCUGGUUAUGACUAUGAUGCUGGUAAGUGGUACUCUUUCCGUUUGGAAAGGAGUACGUUUGGGUUAAUAACUUGGGUUAAUGCUAAAACUUGGCUUUCUAUUAGUAAAUAAUAAUCUGACCAACUAAAAGCAACUGCUUGACUUAUCCCCACAUAAAGCUAGUCCACUACAGCCAAACAGGAUACUUGCUGAGUAUGUUGAUGUGUACUCACCCUUGCUCUACACACCAAACCCCCCCCCCAUCCCCAGGUUGUCAGCAUUGCAACCACUGCUCAGUCGAAGAUGAAGCUGUGGAAGGAGACUUCCAGGAGUUCCAAGAUUACGACGAGUUCUAGGUGUGGGUUAGCGGCAACCCCCAGUCGGCUGCCUGUGAAGGCCGCGGUUAUCUACGUUUCUUUUCCGCACUUUGAUUUAUUGUAAGAACUAUAUGGACGUCUCAGACGUAUGAUGUAAUCGACUAUUUCCCUUAGUAAUACUAUUUUGAGCACUGUGUGAUGAUGUCCAUGUUAUGUAACUGCUGUGUACGUGAAUAACUGAUCCUGGCACGUACAUGGUUCGCAUUCGGUUUGCCUUCUAAAACCGGGUGUGACACCUGAUUACUCUCAAGCAAAGCCUAUAGGUAGUUUAAGAGGUUGAGUACAAUGAGAAACAUUUCAAUCAUUAUUUGCAAAAGAAACAUUUUGAUCAUAUUAAGGAAAAUCAUAGGAGUGAAAGAAAAACAAUGUGUGCAAAUAACUGAACCUCCUGCAGCUCCAUCAUGCUGGCCAAAGUAUGCUUCGACGAAUUCAAAAUAUCAUCAUAUGCUUGCUCUAUCUGCUUAUCAUGAUUGCAACCUUGUUCGGAUGGGUUCCUGGCUUCCUGCAACAGCACAGUAGAAAACAAACUGGAGUUUAGAAUUCAACUUGAGACUUCAGAGUUGAAACAAAACCUGUAUUCACAUAUGUAGCACCGAUGCAUAUACAAAUACCUUUAUCAGAAACAUGAAGAUAUGUGAAUACAUUAUUUUCUCAAUAAAAGUCAUGAUAGAAUUCAUGCAAAUUUUUUUAGAAAUAAAUAAAUGAUGAGGCAUACUACAAUUCUAAAAGCAGUAGCAGUGCAACACGAACGAACAUUCAAAUUGCCCCACAUUCUUGAAACUGUGCUGCUUUGCUCUCGUUCCAAAAAAACUCCGCUAAAGUAAAACUUGGAAAGGUCUGGUUUUGCGUGAGCCACCAACACCAACCAAACUUUACGUCACUAUGACAGUUUCAGCCUUUCGGUCCCGGCGACAGCCAUGGCGGACGCGGGGGUGACAGGGGGUGCUGGCCAAGCUGGGUGAGCUGACGGAGGAGGAGGCGACGACGCUGCUGCGCGUGGACGCCGAGAUACGGGCAUUGUGGCAGAAGCUGGCCUACCUGCAGGCGCUCGUACGCGGGGCCGGCCGCCAGCGCCGCGACCGCGCAAGCGAGCUGCUCCUGCUCUGGCUACGCGAGACCAGAGAGGUUGCUUUCGCGGGUGGUUCUGCCAUACAUAGCGGCGAUGGCUCUUCCUCCCAGGACUACCAUAUCUACACAUAACAAUCAUGCUCUCAUGAAGUUGUGAUGUAAUAGGUCACACGAUUUUAAUGUAUAAGAUUGUGAAGAGUAAAUUAAUUCAAAUGAAUUCAUGGACAUGGGACAACUAUGUGUUAAAAACAGAAUCUCCUAUGUAUCCUAACCAUGUGUAAUGACAUGACAAAAUGACACUUGUAUAUGAGCAAUUAAAGCAUCAUACUACCUUGUAGAGUUCUCUUCGGCGAAUACGUUGAAUGAUUUCUUUUGCUUUCUUCAGUUUAUUGUUAGGAGCAGUCUCGUAGACACAGUCAAGUCCUAGCAUUAGCUCACUGCGAGAGUAUCAGCCAUUCCAGACUCCAGGAGCUCCUCCCGGGUAGCCUGCCUGGCAAUGGGCGCAGAUAUCCUCUUGAGCUCACUCUUAAUGCUAGGUUGUAGGCUCCUUGCUUCCAGGUCCAUCUUCCGAAUCUGCAGACACAAAACAAAAACAUAAAAUUACUUUUCCCCCAACCCCCAAAUUGAAGACUAAGGCACAUAAACAUCUCGCAACUCCGUUGGAACACCAAAACUGCACCGACGGAAACGAAAAAUCCCUAAUCUCUGCUUUUCUACCCAUUCCCCAAAUGUCGUAUGUCCCGUUAGCCAAGGGGAUCCCCAAAACAGAACGUGUCACGACAUCUAUUUACCAGCGAUUCAGCUUCCUCAACGCCGGAUUGGAUCUCAGAGAGCUUCUGCUUCUUCCUCUCUGCGGACAGACCCACCGAAAUCAGACCAAAACAAACGGUCAACAAAAGAAGGCUUUCCAAGCGGCGCUACUGACGCUCGGCUGCCUGGCCGGCGAGCCUCGCAGUCGGCCCUCGAUGAAGGAGGUGGUGGAGACGCUGGAGCGGGUGGAGGCGAUGAAGAGCCGGGCACGCGGCGCGCGUACACCGCCCGGUUCCUGCCCCCCCCCCCCCCGACGACGACCAUGGCGCUUCGCCGAUGGCCCACUUGCCUGGUCGCCCCGCCGUCGCGUCAGCGAGCGCGCUCAGCAGCUCCGUGACCCGCUCGUCGAACCGCGUGGCCACGGCGAGCGGCACGAGGCCUGGGUUCGUGACGUUGACCGGGGGGCGGCGGGGGUGAAAGGGAAUUAGGCUCACACCUAUUUCCUAAUUGAUUUUGGUGGUUGAAUUGUCUAACACAAAUAAUUGGACUAACUAGUUUGCUCUAGUCUAUAAGUUUUACAGGUGCCAAAGGUUCAUAAUAAGCCAAUAAAAAGACCAAGAAAGGGUUCAAACAAAAAGAGCAAAAGACAUCCCGGAAGGCACCCUGGUCUGGCGCACCGGACUGUCCGGUGUGCCACCGGACAGUGUCCGGUGCACCAGGGCACUCGAAGCUGAACUCGCUACCUUCGGGAAAAUCAGAGGGCGCUCCGCUAUAAUUCACCAGACUGUCCGGUGAAGCACCGGACUGUCCGGUGUGCCAGCGGAGCAACGGCUACUUCGCGCGCAACGGUCGACUGCAACGCAUUCAAUGCGCGCCUGCGCGCGCAGAGGGCAGAGCACUCACAGUUGGCGCACCGGACAGUCUACAGGACCUGUCCGGUGCACCACCGGACAGCCCAGAGGCCCCACAAGUCAGAGCUCCAACGAUCGAACCCCAACGAUCUGCUGACGUGGCUGGCGCACCGGACUGUCCGGUGCGCCAUGCGACCGCAGCCUUCCAACGGCCAUUUUUGGUGGUUUAGGGCUAUAAAUACCCCAACCACCCCACAUUCAAUGGCAUCCAAGUUUCCCACCUUCAACACAUUACAAGAGCUAUAACAUUCAAUUCUAGACACUCCAAAAGAUCAAAUCCUCUCCCAAGUCCGGAAUCACUCCAAAUCAAAUAGUGACUAGAGAGAGCGACAUUUGUGUUCAUUUGAGCUCUUGCGCUUGGAUCGCUUCUUUUCUUUCUCAUUCUUCUUGUGAUCAAACUCAAUUGUAACCAAGGCAAGAGACACCAAUUGUGUGGUGGUCCUUGCAGGAACUUUGUGUUCCGUUUGAUUGAGAAGAGAAGCUCACUCGGUCUAAGUGACCGUUUGAGAGAGGGAAAGGGUUGAAAGAGACCCGGUCUUUGUGACCACCUCAAUGGGGAGUAGGUUUGCAAGAACCGAACCUCGGUAAAACAAAUCAUCGUGUCUCGCUCUUUAUAUUUCUAACGUUAACCCGGCUUGUAGUUGUGCUUAAGUUUGUAAAUUUCAGAUUCGCCCUAUUCACCCCCCCUCUAGGCGACUUUCAAUUGGUAUCGGAGCCGGUGCUUCAUUAGAGCCUAACUGCUCGAAGUGAUGUCGGGAGCAUCCGCCAUGAGGGAUCUCGGGACCGGCGACAAGACCGCAUGCUCGGGAAGAACUCACUCAAGGGAGUCCGCCCACAAGCAUAAGGAGGAAUCGUCUUCCUCCAUCAAGUCCCAUCGGAUGGGUGACAAAAAGAAGAAGAUGAGGAAGGUGGUCUACUACGAGACCGACUCUUCGUCACCCUCCACCUCCGGCUCGGAAUCGGCCUCCACCACUUCAAAGCGCCAUGAGCGCAAGAAGUAUAGUAAGAUGCCCCUUCGCUAUCCUCGCAUUUCUAGACGCACUCCAUCACUCUUCGUUCCAUUAGGCAAACCACCUAUAUUUGAAGGUGAAGAUUAUUCUAUGUGGAGUGAUAAAAUGAGGCAUCACCUAACCUCACUCCACAAAAGCAUAUGGGAUAUUGUUGAGUAUGGAGUGCAGGUACCAAAGAAGGGAGAUAAAGAUUACGACUCGGAGGAGGUUGAACAAAUCCAACAUUUCAAAUCCAAGUCGAGAGGAGUAUAAUAAGGUGCAAGGGUUGAAGAGUGCAAAGGAUAUCUGGGACGUGCUAAAGACCGCGCACGAAGGAGACGAGGUAACCAAGAUCACCAAGCGGGAGACGAUCGAGGGGGAGCUCGGUCGCUUCCGGCUUCGCCAAGGGGAGGAGCCACAAGAUAUGUACAACCGGCUCAAGACCUUGGUGAACCAAGUGCGCAACCUCGGGAGCAAAAAAUGGGAUGACCAUGAAAUGGUUAAGGUUAUUCUUAGAUCACUUGUGUUCCUUAACCCUACGCAAGUUCAAUUAAUUCGUGGUAAUCCUAGAUAUACACUAAUGACUCCCGAGGAAGUAAUAGGAAACUUUGUGAGCUUUGAGUUGAUGAUCAAAGGCUCAAAGAAAAUUAUCGAGCACGACGGUCCCUCCACGCCCGAAGCACAACCGGUCGCAUUCAAGGCGACAGAGGAGAAGAAAGAGGAGUCUACAUCAAGUAGACAACCCAUCGACGCCUCUAAGCUCGACAACGAGAAAAUGGCGCUCAUCAUCAAGAGCUUCCACCAAAUCCUCAAACAAAGGAAGGGGAAAGAUUACAAGCCUUGUUCCAAAAGGGUGUGCUACAAGUGUGGUAAGCCCGGUCAUUUCAUUGUUAAAUGUCCUUUAUCUAGUGAUAGUGACAGGGGCGACGACAAGAAGGGCAAGAGGAGAGAAAAGAGGAGGUAUUACAAGAAGAAGGGCGGCGAUGCCCAUGUGUGCCGCGAGUGGGACUCCGACGAGAGUUCCUCCGACUCCUCAUCCGACGAGGACGCCGCCAACAUCGCCGUCACCAAAGGGCUCCUCUUCCCCAACGUCGGCCACAAGUGCCUCAUGGCAAAGGACGGCAAAAAGAAGAAGGUAAAAUCAAAAUCCUCCACUAAAUAUGCAUCCUCUAGUGAUGAAGAUAAUGCUAGUGAUGAGGAGGAUAAUUUGCGUACCCUUUUUGUCAACCUAAACAUGCAACUACAGGAAAAACUAAAUGAAUUAAUUAGUGCUAUUCAUGAGAAAGAUGAUCUCUUGGACUUUCAAGAGGACUUCCUAAUUAAGGAAAAUAAGAAGCAUGUUAAGGUUAAAAAUGCUUAUGCUCUAGAAGUAGAAAAAUGUGAAAAAUUAUCUAGUGAGCUAAGCACUUGCCAUGAUACUAUUACCAUCCUUAGAAAUAAAAAUACUAAACUAAUUGCUAAGGUUGAUUCUAAUAUUUGUGAUGUUUCAAUUCCCAAUCUUAGAGAUGAUAAUGUUAAUUUGCUUGCUAAGAUUGAAGAAUUGAAUGUCUCUCUUGCUAGCCUUAGGGUUGAAAAUGAAAAAUUGAUUGCUAAGGCUAAAGAAUUAGAUGUUUGCAAUGCUUCCAUUUCUGAUCUUAGAAAUAACAAUGAUAUUUUACGUGCUAAGAUUGUUGAACUUAAUUCUUGCAAACCCUCUACAUCUGCCAUUGAGCAUGUCAUUAUUUGCACUAGAUGUAGAGAUAUUAACAUUGAUGCUAUUCAUGAUCAUAUGGCUUUAAUUAAACAACAAAAUAAUCAUAUAGCAAAAUUAGAUGCUAAAAUUGCCGAGCAUGACUUAAAAAAUGAAAAAUUUAAAUUUGCUAGAAGCAUGCUCUAUAGUGGGAGACGCCCUGGCAUCAAGGAUGGCAUUGGCUUCCAAAAGGGAAACAAUGUCAAACUUAAUGCCUCUCCUAAAAGAUUGUCAAACUUUGUUAAGGGCAAGGCUCCCAUGCCUCAGGAUAAUGAGGGUUACAUUUUGUACCCUGCCGGUUAUCCCGAGAGCAAAAUUAGGAGAAUUCAUUCUAGGAAGUCUCACUCUGGCCAUAAUCAUGCUUUUAUGUAUAAGGGUGAGACAUCUAGCUCUAGGCAAUCAACCCGUGCAAAAUUGCCUAAGAAGAAAACUCCUGCUGCAUCAAAUGAUCAUAACAUUUCAUUCAAAACUUUUGAUGCAUCUUAUGUUUUAACUAACAAAUCCGACAAGAUAGUUGCCAAGUAUGUUGGGGGCAAACACAAGGGAUCAAAGACUUGUGUUUGGGUACCCAAAGUUCUUGUAUCUAAUGUCAAAGGACCCAAAACCAUUUGGGUACCUAAAAUCAAGAACUAAACUUGUUUUGUAGGUUUAUGCAUCCGGGGGCCCAAGUUGGAUCAUCGAUAGCGGGUGCACAAACCAUAUGACAGGGGAGAAGAAAAUGUUCUCCUCCUAUGAGAAAAACCAAGAUCCCCAAAGAGCGAUCACAUUCGGGGAUGGAAACCAAGGUUUGGUCAAAGGAUUGGGUAAAAUUGCUAUAUCUCCUGACCAUUCCAUUUCCAAUGUGUUUCUUGUAGAUUCUUUAGAUUACAACUUGCUUUCAGUUUCGCAAUUAUGUAAAAUGGGCUACAACUGUCUUUUUACAGAUAUAGGUGUUACUGUCUUUAGAAGAAGUGAUGAUUCAGUAGCAUUUAAGGGAGUGUUAGAGGGUCAGCUAUACUUGGUAGAUUUUGAUAGAGCUGAACUCGACACUUGCUUAAUUGCUAAGACUAACAUGGGCUGGCUCUGGCAUCACCGACUAGCACAUGUUGGAAUGAAGAAUCUUCACAAGCUUCUAAAGGGAGAACACAUUUUGGGACUAACAAAUGUUCACUUUGAGAAAGAUAGGAUUUGUAGCGCAUGUCAGACAGGGAAGCAAGUUGGUACUCAUCAUCCACACAAGAACAUCAUGAUGACUGACAGGCCACUCGAGCUCCUACAUAUGGACCUAUUCGGCCCGAUAGCUUACAUAAGCAUCGGCGGGAGUAAGUACUAUCUAGUUAUUGUGGAUGAUUAUACUCGCUUCACUUGGGUAUUCUUUUUGCAGGAAAAAUCUCAUACCCAAGAGACCUUAAAGGGAUUCUUGAGACGGGCUCAAAAUGAGUUCGGCUUAAGAAUCAAAAAGAUUAGAAGCGACAACGGGACGGAGUUCAAGAAUUCUCAAAUCGAAGGCUUCCUUGAGGAGGAGGGCAUCAAGCAUGAGUUCUCUUCUCCCUACACCCCACAACAAAAUGGUGUAGUGGAGAGGAAGAAUCGAACUCUAUUGGACAUGGCAAGAACCAUGCUUGAUGAGUACAAGACUUCGGAUCGGUUUUGGAUCGAGGCGGUCAACACCGCUUGCUACACCAUCAACCGGUUAUAUCUACACCGAAUCCUCAAGAAGACAUCAUAUGAACUCCUAACCGGUAAAAGCCCAAUGUUUCAUAUUUUAGAGUCUUUGGUAGCAAAUGCUUCAUUCUUGUUAAAAGAGGUAGAAAAUCUAAAUUUGCUCCUAAGGCUGUAGAAGGCUUUUUACUAGGGUAUGAUUCAAACACAAGGGCAUAUAGAGUCUUUAACAAGUCCUCGGGACUAGUUGAAGUUUCUGGUGACAUUGUGUUUGAUGAAACUAACGGCUCUCAAGUAGAGCAAGUUGAUCUUGAUGAGAUAGGUGAUGAAGAGGCUCCGUGCGUCGCGCUAAGGAACAUGUCCAUUGGGGAUGUGUGUCCUAAGGAAUCCAAAGAGCCUCCAAAUGCACAAGAUCAACCAUCCUCCUCCACGCAAGCAUCUCCACCAACUCAAAAUGAGGAUGAGGCUCAAGAUGAUGAAGGAGAAGAUCAAGAAGAUGAGCCACCUCAAGAUGACGGCAAUAAUCAAGGGGGAGAUGCAAAUGAUCAAGACAAGGAGGAUGAAGAACCAAGACCGCCACACCCAAGAGUCCACCAAGCAAUCCAACGAGAUCACCCCGUGAACACCAUCCUCGGCGAUAUUCAAAAGGGGGUAACUACUCGAUCUCGUGUUGCUCAUUUUUGUGAACAUUACUCUUUUGUUUCCUCUAUUGAGCCACAAAGGGUAGAGGAAGCACUACAGGAUUCAGAUUGGGUGGUGGCGAUGCAAGAGGAGCUCAACAACUUCACUAGGAAUGAGGUAUGUCACUUAGUUCCACGUCCUAAUCAAAAUGUUGUAGGAACCAAGUGGGUCUUCCGCAACAAACAAGAUGAGCAUGGUGUGGUGACAAGGAACAAAGCCCGACUUGUGGCCAAGGGUUAUUCACAAGUCGAAGGUUUGGAUUUUGGUGAAACCUAUGCACCCGUAGCUAGGCUUGAGUCAAUUCGCAUAUUACUUGCCUAUGCUACUUACCAUGGCUUCAAGCUUUAUCAAAUGGACGUGAAAAGUGCCUUCCUCAACGGACCAAUCAAGGAAGAGGUCUAUGUUGAGCAACCUCCCGGCUUUGAAGAUAGUGAGUACCCUAAUCACGUAUAUAAACUCUCUAAGGCGCUUUAUGGGCUCAAGCAAGCCCCAAGAGCAUGGUAUGAAUGCCUUAGAGAUUUCCUUAUCACUAAUGGUUUCAAAGUCGGAAAGGCCGAUCCUACUUUAUUUACUAAAACUCUUGACAAUGAUUUGUUUGUAUGCCAAAUUUAUGUUGAUGAUAUUAUAUUUGGGUCUACUAAUGAAUCUACAUGUGAGGAAUUUAGUAGGAUCAUGACACAGAAAUUCGAGAUGUCUAUGAUGGGGGAGUUGAAGUACUUCUUGUGAUUUCAAGUGAAGCAACGCUAAGAGGGCACCUUCAUUAGCCAAACGAAGUACAUUCAAGACAUUCUAAACAAGUAUGGGAUGAAGGAUGCCAAACCCAUCAAGACACCCAUGGGAACCAAUGGGCAUCUCGACCUCGACACGGGAGGUAAAUCCGUCGAUCAAAAGGUAUACCGGUCGAUGAUAGGCUCUUUACUCUAUUUAUGUGCAUCUCGACCGGAUAUUAUGCUUUCCGUAUGCAUGUGUGCAAGAUUCCAAGCCGACCCUAAGGAAGCUCACCUUACGGCCGUAAAACGAAUCUUGAGAUAUUUAGUUCAUACUCCUAAGUUUGGGCUUUGGUAUCCUACGGGAUCCACAUUUGAUUUGAUUGGUUAUUCGGAUGCCGAUUGGGCGGGGUGUAAAAUUAAUAGAAAGAGUACAUCGAGGACUUGCCAGUUCUUGGGAAGGUCCCUGGUGUCUUGGGCUUCAAAGAAGCAAAAUUCCGUAGCUCUUUCUACCGCCGAAGCCGAGUAUAUUGCCGCAGGCCAUUGUUGCGCACAAUUACUUUGGAUGAGGCAAACCCUUAGGGACUAUGGUUAAAAAUUAACCAAAGUUCCUCUUCUAUGUGAUAAUGAGAGUGCAAUCCGCAUGGCGGAUAAUCCCGUUGAGCAUAGCCGCACUAAACACAUAGCCAUUCGGUAUCAUUUCCUAAGGGAUCACCAAAAAAAGGGAGAUAUCGAGAUUGCCUAUAUUAACACUAAGGAACAAUUAGCUGAUAUCUUUACCAAGCCACUAGAUGAACAAACUUAGACACGAGCUAAAUAUUCUUGAUUCUAGGAAUUUCUUUUGAUGUCUUGCAUACAUAGCUCAUUAAUAUACCUUUGAUCAUAUCUCUUUCAUGUGCUAUGACUAAUGUGUUUUCAAGUAUAUUUCAAACCAAGUCAUAGGUGUAUUGAAAGGGAAUUGGAAUCUUCGGCGAAGACAAAGGCUUAACCUCCACUCCAUAACUCAUCCUUCACCAUCGCUUCAAGCAACUCUCCAACUUUGGUAUAAUCUUCACUCAUAUUAUGUUCGCCAAAGCAGGAGAAAGUAGUUAAAGGGGCUUAUAUUUCACUCAAGUAUUCGUUUUUGGCGAUUCAUGCCAAAGGGGGAGAAAGUAUUAGCCCAAAGCAAAAGGACCGCACCACCACCCAUUUUCAAAAGGUUUUAAAAUGAUGAAUUUUUCAAUUGAUAUCUUAUUAUAUUCAAAAGGGGGAGAAAGUAGCAUUUUCAAAAUUGAUAUCUUAAAACCCUCUUGAACACUAUGAGUAGGAUUUUUGAGGGGGGAGUUUUGUUUAAGUCAAAGGAAAAGCAUUUGAAACAGGGGGAGAAAAUUUCAAAUUUUGAAAAUGCUUCUCAAAAUCUUAUUCAUUUACCUUUGACUAUUUACAAAAGGAUUUGCAAAAACAAAACAUGUGGUGCAAGCGUGGUCCAAAAUGAUGAAAAUAAAGAAACAAUCCAUGCAUAACUUAUGAAAAUAUUUAUUGGUUCAAUUCUAAGUAACCUUUGCACUUACAUUAUGCAAACUAGUUCAAUUAUGCACUUCUAUACUUGCUUUGGUUUGUGUUGGCAUCAAUCACCAAAAAGGGGGAGAUUGAAAGGGAAUUAGGCUCACACCUAUUUCCUAAUUGAUUUUGGUGGUUGAAUUGUCCAACACAAAUAAUUGGACUAACUAGUUUGCUCUAGUCUAUAAGUUUUACAGGUGUCAAAGGUUCACAAUAAGCCAAUAAAAAGACCAAGAAAGGGUUCAAACAAAGAGAGCAAAAGACAUCCCGGAAGGCACCCUGGUUUGGCGCACCGGACAGUGUCCGGUGCACCAGGGCACUCGAAGCUGAACUCGCUACCUUCGGGAAAAUCAGAGGGCGCUCCGCUAUAAUUCACCGGACUGUCCGGUGUGCCAGCAGAGCAAUGGCUACUUCGCGCGCAACGGUUGACUACAACGCAUUUAAUGCGCGCCUGCGCGCGCAGAGGACAGAGCACGUGCAGUUGGCGCACCAGACAUCCUACAGGACCUGUCUGGUGCACCACCGGACAGCCCAGAGGCCCCACAAGUCAGAGCUCCAACGGUCGAACCCCAACGGUCUGCUGACGUGGCUGGCGCACCGGACUGUCCGGUGCGCCAUGCGAGAGCAGCCUUCCAACGGCCUUUUUUGGUGUUUUGGGGCUAUAAAUACCCCAACCACCCCACAUUCAAUGGCAUCCAAGUUUCCCACCUUCAACAUAUUACAAGAGCUAUAGCAUUCAAUUCUAGACACUCCAAAAGAUCAAAUCCUCUCCCAAGUCCGGAAUCACUCCAAAUCAAAUAGUGACUAGAGAGAGCGACAUUUGUGUUCAUUUGAGCUCUUGCGCUUGGAUCGCUUCUUUUCUUUCUCAUUCUUCUUGUGAUCAAACUCAAUUGUAACCAAGGCAAGAGACACCAAUUGUGUGGUGGUCCUUGCGGGAACUUUGUGUUCCGUUUGAUUGAGAAGAGAAGCUCACUCGGUCUAAGUGACCGUUUGAGAGAGGGAAAGGGUUGAAAGAGACCCGGUCUUUGUGACCACCUCAACGGGGAGUAGGUUUGCAAGAACCGAACCUCGGUAAAACAAAUCAUCGUGUCUCACUCUUUAUUUGCUCAUGAUUUGUUUUGCGCCCUCUCUCUCGGACUCGUUUAUAUUUCUAACGUUAACCCGGCUUGUAGUUGUGCUUAAGUUUGUAAAUUUCAGAUUCGCCCUAUUCACCCCCCCUCUAGGCGACUUUCAGGGGGAAGAGUGGAAGGGCAGGCGGGGUAGGGCGAUGGCUGGCGCGAGAUCCGGGGCGGCAGGGAAGGGUGCCUGCCUCCUUCCAUGCGCGUGCGUGGGAUACAUCGGCAGAACCGUGCACCAAUCCAUUGUGUGGAUGCCUACGUUAGAAACUUAAGUAUGUAUCCUAACCAUGUGUAAUGACAUGACAAAAUGACACUUGUAUAUGAGCAAUUAAAGCAUCAUACUACCUUGUAGAGUUCUCUUCGGCGAAUACGUUGAAUGAUUUCUUUUGCUUUCUUCAGUUUAUUAUUAGGAGCAGUCUCGUAGACACAGUCAAGUCCUAGCAUUAGCUCACUGCGAGAGUAUCAGCCAUUCUAGACUCCACGAGCUCCUCCCGGGUAGCCUACCUGGCAUUGGGCGCAGAUAUCCUCUUGAGCUCACUCUUGACGUUGUUGAGGUCAGAUUUAUAAUCCCUCGGCUUUGCAAGCAAACCAGCCUUAAUGCUAGGCUGUAGGCUCCUUGCCUCCAGGUCCAUUUUCUGAAUCUGCAGACACAAAACAAAAACAUAAAAUUACUUUUCCCCCAACCCCCAAAUUGAAGACUAAGGCACAUAAACAUCUCGCAACUCUGUUGGAACACCAAAACUGCACCGACGGAAACGAAAAAUCCCUAAUCUCUGCUUUUCUACCCAUUCCCCAAAUGUCGUAUGUCCCGUUAGCCAAGGGGAUCCCCAAAACAGAACGCGUCGCGACAUCUAUUUACCAGCGAUUCAGCUUCCUCAACGCCGGAUUGGAUCUCGGAGAGCUUCUGCUUCUUCCUCUCUGCGGAUAGACCCACUGAAAUCAGACCAAAACAAACGAUCAACAAAAGCAGGCGUUCCAAGCGGCGCAACUAAUGCUCGGCUGCCUGGCCAGCGAGCCAAGCAGUCGGCCCUCGAUGAAGGAAGUGGUGGAGACGCUGGAGCGGGUGGAGGCGAUGAAGAGCCGGGCGCGCGGCGCGCGUACACCGCCUGGUUCGUGCCCCCCGACGACGACCAUGGCGCUUCGCCGAUGGACCACCUGCCUGGUCGCCCCACCGCCGCAUCAGCGAGCACGCUCAGCAGCUCUAUGACUCGCUCGUCGAACAGUGUGGCCACGACGAGCGGCACGAGGCCCGGGUUCGUGACGUUGACCGGGGGCGGCGGGGGAAGAGUGGAAGGGCAGGCGGGGUAGGGCGGGGGCUGGCGCGAGAUCCGGGGCGGCGGGGAAGGGUGCCUGCCUCCUUCCAUGCACGUGCGUGGGAUACAUCGGCAGAACCGUGCACCAAUCCGUUGUGUGGACGCCUACGUUAGAAACUUAAGUAUGUAUCCUAACCAUGUGUAAUGACAUGACAAAAUGACACUUGUAUAUGAGCAAUUAAAGCAUCAUACUACCUUGUAGAGUUCUCUUCGGCGAAUACGUUGAAUGAUUUCUUUUGCUUUCUUCAGUUUAUUGUUAGGAGCAGUCUCGUAGACACAGUCAAGUCCUAGCAUUAGCUCACAGCGAGAGUAUCAGCCAUUCCAAACUCUAGGAGCUCCUCCCGGGUAGCCUGCCUGGCAUUGGGCGCAAAUAUCCUCUUGAGCUCACUCUUGACGUUGUUGAGGUCAGAUUUAUACUCCCUCAGCUUUGCAAGCAAACCAGCCUUAAUGCUAGGCUGUAGGCUCCUUGCCUCCAAGUCCAUCUUCCGAAUCUGCAGACACAAAACAAAAACAUAAAAUUACUUUUCCCCCAACCCCCAAAUUGAAGACUAAGGCACAUAAACAUCUCGCAACUCCAUUGGAACACCAAAACUGCACCGACGGAAACGAAAAUCCCUAAUCUCUGCUUUUCUACCCAUUCCCCAAAUGUCGUUUAUACAUGCAUGGGGAUGGGAGCUAGGUAGGUCAAGUUAGAAAGCCACACACGGAUUCAUCAUCUUCAUGUUCGGAGACUGUUCCUGCUUGGCGGCAACAACCCGUUGGGUAGGCUGAACAGCCGACUCCUCUUGGGCUCUGAGAUCCUCACCUGUGUUAUUGUUGUCACCAGUGCAUCAACUAUACCGCAUUCAUCUCGCUCUUCAGAGUUGUCACUUGAGGAUUUUGAAGAUGAAGACUCACAGUAACCAAACCUGACUAUCUCCCGAUGAAUCAUGGGAGCUGCAGUUUUGUUAGUAUCCCAUAUGUUAGAGAAUUCAGCUUUCUGCGGGCAAUCAGUGUAGAAUAAGACCCAUGGUGCCCUGUGUUGAAAGCCAUUAGGAAAAGUCAAUGAUAAAUUGAGAAUCAUAUAUAUAAAGCACAAGUUACAAGGGUGCUUGAACUUACGGAGAACUUCUUUGGCAUUGGGCCUUGAAGAGACCUCUCGAUUAAGCAUUCGGCCAAUGAGAUCAUGAGCAAGAAGUGACACGGAUGCACAUAUUCUGGUGGGAUCUAAAAAAACAUGCUCCUCACUGCUCCCCAUUUAAUCUCCACCGAAAUCAGUCCAGAAUCAACCCUCUGCUCCCCCACCCUACUCUCCCGCUGGAAUCACUAUAAUCACUUCACUAAAGAAUCAAUGCGCUAGGGUUCGAAAAGAAAAAGGUAUUAUGCAAUACUAUAAGAAUAGCCAUGAUUAUUGCUUAGAAAAUAAUGAUCAAACAAUCUGUCAAUAUUCUAGAAAGAAAAAACAGAAUUGUCAUAUGCAAUGAAUUGUGUUUCAACAUAUUACCUGUACAGCAACGAAUGCAUUGCAACAAAACAGGGUAAGGCCAGCCAAUACAAUCACACCAUGGUUUCAUCAUACAUAGUUUUACAGGAAAACAAAGACAUGCAGUGUUAGUCUGAUCACAUACACUAGAAAACUGCUAAUACUUGACAAAAUAAUUGACAUUUUGUGGCUCCCCUUUGCCAUCAUUUUUUUGAGUUAGCAUGUUUGUGAG